rnacentral:lncRNA from 1 species
UGUCAGUUCACGUUACCCCUUACUAAAAUACGCUAAGAAAAGGAUUUCACAUAUUCAACCCUAAGAGAAUGUUUCAUAAGAUAAAUCUUUGUUUGAAAUGAAAGAUAUUUACGCAACAAUAAAAAAGAGAACGAAAAUGGGUAAGAGGAAACGUUGGAAUUUGUAAUGAGGUGUGCAGGGAGGAUUUUAUUACCAUGUGGUGUGAUGCAAGGGUGGUAUCUAGUAGUGGUAAGGAGGAGGAGGAGGAGGGGAUUUGUAGUAGUAGUGGGGUGGAGGUGGUGAAGGGACUGGAGGAGGAGGAGACUUGUACUUAUAAGGCUUCUUGUGAGGUGAUGGUGGAGGAGAGUGGUAAACUGGGGUGGGGACAUGGGGAGGGUAGGUGGGAACUGGUGGCGGUGGGGAGUGGUAGACUGGGUGGGGGUGAGGGUAGCGGUGCCUGUGCACUGGUGGAGGAGGGGAAGAGUAUUUGUAUGACUUCUUAGGAGGGGGUGGAGGAGAGUGGUAAACUGGGUGUGGGUGAGGGUAAGGCUUGUGCACUGGUGGUGGGGGAGAUGGGUAUUUGUAUGGCUUCUUUGGUGGUGGAGGUGGUGGGGAGUGGUAGAUUGGGUGAGGGUGAGGGUGAGGGUGUGGGUGAGGGUAAUGGUGAGGAGGGGGUGGAGGAGAUUGGUAGACUGGGUGUGGAUGAGGGUAGGGCUUGUGCACUGGUGGUGGUGGAGAUUGGUAGACUGGGUGUGGAUGAGGGUAGGGCUUGUGCACUGGUGGUGGUGGAGAUGGGUAGUGGUAGGGAGGUGGUGGUGAGGAGACUGGUGGAGGUGGAGGAGAGGAGUAGGAGUAGUGGUUGCCGGAGAUUUGAGAUGGGAGGCUGAAAAGGAUAAUGGCAAAUGCAAGAGUGAUAGAAGCAGAGGCCAUUAGGGACCCCAUUUUCCUCCAACUGAGUUUUGGUUAUGCUCUAAAGUGAGCUUCUGCAUCCCUUUUUAUAGUUGCUUCUGAACCAUUUAACUCCAACCUACACCUUUCUUAACUCUACUUUUUUUCACUUCCACACUCACCUUCUCGGAAACACGUUAUCACGUACGUAAUCCUGGUUUUGAACUAUUGCCAUGACAUUGACUUUCAAACCCUUUGGAACACGGUUUUGGAUUCGAUUCAUCUAUCAAAAUAUUACGUGCCUUUUUUUAUGCAGAUCUCUAAUCAAAAUAUCAACUUCAUUUGAUGAUGUGUAAUGUAUUCUUCCUAUUAUGCAUGUUGUUGAAGUAAAACUUCACUUAUGAUCAUGAUUGAAUAGGAGCAUUAAAAAAUACUAACCAAAAACAUCUAAGUUUUGUUGCUUUGAAACUAAUUAAGAAGGUUAACAUUACAAGUUAAAUAUGGUAAACUUAUUGGUUUGAAUUAUUCUGAGUCAUAAAUAUUGUAUUGUAGAAGUGCUUUUGAUUGUGUAGAAAUGAAAAAGGUAAAAUAAAAAUAAGUGCAGGGAUGCCAGACUGUGGAGUCUGUAGCUAGGCUGAAAUGCUGACACAACCUUUAUUUUUCUCUGUGUGGCGGAAGAAAAGACAAACAAUAUGAUUUAAUUAUUUGUUGCUUCUAGCACUGAAACAUCACUCUGUUAAAAAACAUGCAUAAUUUUUGGGUACUACUUUUUCGUUAAAAUAAUGACAUAAAUGAAUUCAGCUGUAUCAAUUGAGGAACUAAAGUAAAAAUAUGGAUAAAUUUUUCACAUAUUUUAAAAAUUAUUUUUCUAACUUACUUUCCCAAUUCAUAUCUAAUUUCAGAAUCUUUGAAACUUGUACUUGUCUAAAGUGGUACUGCAUGAUAUAGGGGCACCUAAAACUACAUAUUUUUCAUCCUUCCCUGUCAUUAAUUAAGUAUUUAUUAAACUAUUUUUUCAGUUCUAAUAACUGUAUGAAAAAAAAAAAUCUCCACUGAACAAACUACAAGUUUUUUUUUCUCUUUUUUUUAUAUAUUUUAAUAAGUAUUUUUAGAAAACUAAAUAAAAAGGAACUCAAACAUUUUUAUAGGCUAAAUUUCUUUAAAAAAUUGUGCAUCGUAAGAAGGAUAAGUGGGAAGGUUUCAACUUGGGAGAUAACACUCUAAAGUGAAAAAACAUUUUAAAUUGGGAGUUGAACUUUCUUUGCCAGCUCAAUGCAGGUCCAUAUAUAUAUAUAUAUAUAUAUAUAAUAUUAUUAAAAAAAAUUAUAAAAUAGAAACUAAAUUUUUAUAGACCAAAAUAAUUAAUUAUAAUAAAUAAAUUAAAUAGUAACUAAAUUAAAGAUCACUUUAAAAUUAAUUUCAAAAUUAAUUUUUAUUAUUAUUAAAUAGUUUCUAAAUUGGUAUCUAAUUAUCAACUAAUGUUUUAAUUACCAAUUAUUUAGUUUCUAAAUUUGGUUUUUAAAAUCUUGUUAUUAAUUAAAUAUCAAUUUAAAAACUAUAUAAUAAUAAUAAAAAUUAAUUUAGAAACUAAAAUUUCUUUUAUUUUUUAAAAUAUCUAUAAUUUAGUUACUAUUGCAACUAAUUAUUUUGAUCUUUAAAAAUUGAUUUUUAUUUCAUGAUUUUCUUGUAGUACAUUGAUUAAUGCUUAAAAUAAAUUUAUUAAGUAAUAGAUUUAAGACGAGGUUGAUAUUUACUUACAUAUUAUAUAUUAUCAAAUAUUAUACUUUGAUCUAAAAUUUUCAGCACGUUUUCUUAGGUUGAAAUUUUCUAAUUCGUGGUAUUGUAAUUUUCUAAUUCGUGAUAUUAUAUAUAUAUAUAUAUAUAUUUUAUUUGAUAAUAAUAUAAUAACCGAGGAUAUGCUAAACUCAAUCAAUUUUGUUAAGAUAAACUUAACUCUGAUUUUAUAUUAAAUAAUAAAUUUUAAAUAUAAUUUAAUCUUAUAAACUGAAUUAUGAAUUAUAAAGUUAGGUUUAUAAUUAUUUGUAUAUUAUAAAAAUCUUCAUAAUAUUUUCAAUUUUUGUUAAAAUGUAUAUUCUUUUUAUUUUAUUUCUUGACAUUAUAAAUUAUACGAAAAAAAAAUGGUAUUCUAUGCUCCAUUCCCGAAAGCACCAUUUCACGUGCCAUUGUCAUGCAUUUCUACCUAUAAUAGCUUACUGGAGUAGGCCAAGACUCACGAGUUAUCCAAAGUAAUCUUUGUUUUCUAUUUUCCCUCUUUUUCGGGAACUUAAAUUAAAAUGUUUUUUUGAUUAAAUAUAAUUAAAGUUAAUUUAAACUUAUUAUAAUAUAAUAUUAUAAGAAAGGAUGUGGAUAAACACAGUCAUUAAGAAAAUGUAUUACUUUACAUAAUUGUGUAUAAAUUAUUAUAAUAUGAUCAAUUAUAUUAUUUUACAUGCUCAAUUAAAUGUUUUCAGAGAAUUAUAUUUGAAGUUGGAAAUAUUUUUGUAUGAAUUUCAAACUCUUUUUUCUUAAUCUGUAAAGCUGGGAUGAAUUAUUGAAUGAAAACUCCUCAACAGAUAAUUCAGAAGUGACUCAAAAUUCAGAAAACAGAAAGAGAAAAUCAAAUUAAAUUUAAUGAAUAGUUUUAUUUCCAAGGCAGCAUAGGGUAUCCUAAUUUCACUAAUAUUAAUUUGAAAAUUUACAGUAUUCGGGAUUUUAUUUUGUAAUGUCUUCUGUAAAUUGUUAAAUAUUAUUGUUGAGAUCUACCUACCUAUCUACCUAGCCAACUUCAUAAAAUAUUUAAUCACCUUUAAAAUUUAUGUUUUAUUAUCUUUAUCCAUGAAUUAAAUUUAAUGAUUUUAAAAAAUAAGUUUAUGUUACAAUUAAAAUUAUUUUACUGGUAUACAAGUAUAUUUUACAUAUUCAGAAAUAUUUAUUUGUUAUAAAUUUUAAUAACUGUAAUUUUGAUUUUCAAAUAUAAAUUAUAAUUGUAAAAUAUUUUAUAUAAUAAUUUUUUUUAUUAUAAUUUCUACUUAUACAAAACGUAAAUAUUUAUUCGAAUAAUACUCGUGAAAUUGCAUGUGCAUUUGUUGAAUCUGAAGAUGGGCUAGUAUAAUUAAUUUUUAUAGACAAAAAACUGUGAUUGUAUCUUUUCAAUAAUUUGUAAAUCAGUUUCUUUUCUAUGCAUAUACUGAUGAGACUUAAAUAAAGAUUUUGUGUAUUAGUUAAACAUAAACAAAUUUCAACCAUAUUGAUUCCUACUUAAAACACCAUUUCCAAUAAUAAUACAUACAAAUCCAUCCACAGAAAAUACAAAACGAUUUAUCAGAGCUAAAAUAUAAUGUAUGAUAUAUCAUAAUCUUUAUUAGCAUGUGCUUGCUACUAUAAUUAAUUAAAGUUUUAGACAAAAAUUACCUUUGAAGAUAACUUGAUACACCUAAAGAGUUCCAACAUAAUGCAAAGCUAAAGAAAUAUAGGAAAUGAGCGUGGGUGGUUCAGUGUGAAUUGGAUAGGAGAUAAGACUCUAUUAAAUAGACUUCCUGAAAGUCUAAAUUCACCCAAUCAAUCAAAAUAAGUUUGAAUUCAAACUUCAUUGCCAAAAUGAAUCUCUGUGACAUUUUGAUUAUUGUACCCAAAGUGAAAAUUGUAGCCAUGUGAACAUAAAGUUCUGAGUAAAGUGUACGCUUGACAUGUAUUUUGAGGAAGAAAACAUUGUUUGUGAGAAAAUCAAGUUGUUGCUGCACGACUUUGCAAUUGAAGUUGCCAAUAAUGAGAAAUUUUUUCAUUUUGUGCUUAUGCAAAGUUGUUAUUAACAGUGAAGGAAACUUUGAAAAGGAAGACUGAAAAAUAUUAUGACCAAUGCAAGAGUGAGAGAAGCAAAGGCCACUAAAGACCCUAAUUUCCUUAAAGUUGGUAUUGGUUAUAUGGUCAUGUUGAGAAACCCAAACUAGCCCCUUUUAUAUACCAUUUAGCUCUAAGCAUCUUCCUAACUUUAUUUGUUUCCUUCACAAUACUACACGCAUGCACCAAUGGUUUUAGGAGCAAGUGUCCCAAAGCGUUUUUGGAACGGUUGUGACUCUAAUUGCUUUUGGAACGUUGAAUUUGGAUUUCACAGGCUGCGUCCUAAUUAAGACAAAGCACGUUUAUUUUUCUUUACAUCCCAAAACAUAGCAUAAUAUAUAUUUAAUUAUCUUUGAUUAUAAGUUUCUAGCAUUCACAAAUUUCAUUCCCCAAAUUAUUUGUUUGUUGUUGUGUGUGGUUUAUAGGGAACUAAAACACUAGUUUAUAGGGAACUAAAUCUCUGAAACUAUAUUUGAUAGUUAUGAGAAACUAGUAUAUGGUAUUCACAUUUUCUCUGUUGUUGAUUGCACUGCCAUUGUAUUAUACAUGUAUCAAGAAAACGUAGUGACUUUGUAAUUCUGUUUCGUAGUUUUUACAUAAAAAAUUACUAGAUUUUGUAAGAUAUGAAGCAAGUGUGGGGAUUAUUUGUUCCUAGGGAAAGUUUUAAAGUGAACUUGUAAGUGUCUUCAAAUCUGUUUUGCACAAUAAAUAAGUGCGACGUAUUAGAUUUCAAACAUUGCAAAAUAAAUGUUACAUGUUUACAUAGGUUUUUUAUUGGUAAGUAAUUCAAUUUUUUUUAGAGGUGGUUGUGAUUUUAUUAUAAUUUUAAAGUCAAAUAAGUGAGUCGACGGAUAUUGGAUAUCAAACAUGGAAUAAAUUUUGCAGUUUUUUAGGCCUGUGAUAAGAAAAUACAUACAUUACAACAUUAUUUUUAAUUAAAAUAUGUUUAGGAAAAUGAAAUGUCUCAAUCUGUGUAGAGAUUAAACUCUAUAUAAUGCUCUGAUACGAAAUAUGAUAUCAUCGGAAGUGUAAUUAUUUGGCAUAUAUAUUAUACUUUAACAGCCGAAAACAAUCAUUUACCAAUUAAUUAUAUUAAUAAUUUAAUUAUAUAUUUCAUUUUUAAAAUUAAAUUAUUAAAAUAAAAUUGUGAAAUAUAUCUUAAAAUAUAAUUUUUCACAUAUAUAUUCGAUGUAACGAAACUGACUUUUAACUAAUCCGAGAAAUCGGGUAAGAACUUUUCGAAGAACUGAAGUGCCUCUCCAUUCUGAUAUUGACAAAAGGAAUUUAAAACAUUCAAAUCAAUACAAAUUAAAUGUACCUAUAAGACUGAAUUUCAUUUCAAUGAAUUUUAUGAGGAAAAAGAUAAAUAAAAAAUAAAAUAAUUCUUUAUAAAAUUAGUUUAUGUAUAAUUUAAUUUAUAAAAAUUAAAAAAUAAUUUUAAUUUGUGUAUAUAUAUUAAUUUUUAUUUAUAAAGAAAUUUGUUUUAUUUUAUUUUUCAUACUUUUUCUUAUAAAAGUCCUUUUAGAAAGACUAGUCUAAAUAUAUCCCAAAAAAUAUAUUAUUGUACUACGACAUCAGUACACUGACAUCAUGCAUAUGACAUGACUGAAAAACUUUACUUUGAUUUUAAUUUUUCACAUUUUUAUUCAUCUUCUCAAGUUUCUUCAAUUAAGUAAUAAUAAUUUAGUAAAAUAUUUUUUUAAAUGAUAAAUUGUUUAUUAUUUAAUUAUCUUAGUAUUUUUUUUAAUUAUUGUUAUUUAACUGAAUAAAUGGAGAAAAAUGGCGCGAAAUUUCACUAUUAAUAAAAAUUAAAUUUAGAGAUAAAUAAUUUUCUUUAUGAUAAUAAAAGUAAAAUAUAUAAUAAAAAUUGAUAUUAUAAUAAUUAUCAAAAUAAUUAUUAUUAUAAAAUAAAUAUUUUUAAGGCAUAAUUAAUUACCCUUUUUCUUGCAACAUUUUCUAACUUUAUUCAAUUUAAUCUCUAUAUUUAAAAAAUAAAUAAAAAAUGAUACCAAUCUUGUUUAGAAAGUUCAAUAUGAUUUCAACUUCUUUUACUAUUCAAUCUGAUUCCAAUGUUUUUAAGAGUUUAGGGUGGUCCCGUUUUUUUAAAAAUAACUCAAUAGGAUGAUUCAAACCUUUUUUUUUUUUAAAUCGCUAAGAUAUUAAAAUGAAGACAUUUAGCAUGAAGGAUCACAUUAAAUCGUUUCUAAACAAGAUUGAGAACAUUUUGAAUUUUUUAAACAUACGGAGAUUAAAUUAAAUAAAGUCAUAAAAUGUUGAAAAAAAAGUAAUUAUGCCUAUUUUUAAUUAAUUUUUAUAAUAUUAUAUACUACAAGAAAAUAUUUAAAUAAAAACUAAUUUUAGAGAAAAAAAAUUAGUUAUUAUAUUAAGUAAGUUAUAUACUAUUUUAUAAACUAAACAAUUUUUUAUAUAUAAAGUAGUUUUUAUUAUUAAUAAAAUUUACAAACUAGUUGUUAAAUUAUUAUCUAUCAAGGUUUUAGCUAUUAAUUAUGUUAGAUUAUAAAUUAAUUAGAUUAAUAAUAAGUAUAAUUGUAAACAGUUAUGUGUAAAAAGAAACUUUUAUUUUGAAAGAAUAAACCUUAUUAAAACCUUAUAAAAAAAAUCCUAUUGAGUUGAAGAACAUUAGGGAUAAAAUAUUGAGUUAAGGAAAAUUAGUACUUUAUCUUAUAUUCAACGCAAAUCAUAAUGUAUACACCAUAAAUCAAUCAAAAAGGUGUUUCUACCAUAGAUGUUUGGGGAAUACACUGAUAUCCCACAAUAUGUUGGGUAUAUUUUUGGCCCAAAGAUCUUUGGGUUCCCCAAGAUUCUUUUUGAGUUAUGGGUUUUGCGUGUAGGAGUAUGGUAAGUUUGUGACAUAUGAAGUUAGGAUCAAUCUCUAGCGUUUCCACUAGACUCCAUGUGAAGAGGUCAGAGUUACUGAAUAGUACCUUUUCUAUAAGGAUCUAAAAAUUUACUUUAGAGUAAAAGUGGUAUAUUUUAAAUGAUACUUGAAUAUUUUAUUAUUAAAAUGAAAAGAACAUAUAAAUAGAAAAAUCAUUUAUUCAGAUUUCAUUUCAAAAGAACCACCAUCUCUCUAGAAGUUUCUUUUUUCCUUUCCUCACCCUACUCUCUAAGAUUAUGACCUCCUCGCUCAUCAAUUUGACGAUCGGAGUCUGCUAUUAAACUCUUGGCAGCGAAGACUACAAGACUGCCCAAUCAAAAUCUCUUAUAGAGUAAGUUCAAUUUUACUCUUCUCUUUGAGUCAAAUUUUGAACUUGUAGGUCUGUCUCAAUUUAAGUUUACACAUUUGACUCUUUUAGCUUUAAGAUUAGUCUUUGUUAUCUCAGAGUCCUAGUCAUAUAGUUAAAAAUUUUAUCAGGACUUUGUGGUGCAUGUUAAGCUACUAUUGAAGCUUUUGGUAGGUUUGAAGCUCUUAGGCUUUGUUUGGAUCCAGGGGUGCCACUGUUGGCGACGACGAAAGUCACAACAACACCCCGUUUGGAUCCAUGCAUUGUUGCGGGUGAGGGUGCAGCGAAAGAGAAAGUUGAGUGAAUUGUGUUUCUUCUGAAAGAUGAAGAGAAAGUUUCACUGUGCAGUGCAAGUGCCAAGUCAUCACCACGAAAUUCCAAUGAUGCCCUUACUUUUGUGUUGGAAUCAAGAAGCACAGUGGCUGUGCAUGCAUGCCAGAUGAAAGCAUGAAAUUCCUGACUUGGCUCAGGAAUCUAUUGACCAUGUGAAAGUUUGAAACCUCAUCAAUGAAAUGGGUGAGAGGUAGGUGCGUGAGAUUUUUGGUUUCUUUAUAAACGUUGCUUCCUCCAUUCAUAGUCACAGAUAAGCGAAGCAUAAGCAAAGAGAGAGCGAAGCAUAAAGUGUGUAGUUGGAGAGAUUUGUAAGUCAUAGUGUGUGUUAGGGGCUUCAUUAACGUAGAGGUUAUUCAUCUGAAAGUGAUGUGUUCAUCUCUGGGUUCAUCUGUGCCUUCAUGUGGUUCAUCUCUGGGUUCAUCUGAGGUGAGUUUAUAUGUUUGAUUGUUGGUUAAUCGAUUAUGGUUUAAAUAUCACAGGCAAAAUAAUCGAUUAUAGUGUAAUCUGCAAAAUUUCCCAGGCAUAAUCGAUUAUCUGUAGUGUGUAAAAUUGCUCUUAAUCGAUUAUUUGUUGUGAUAAUCGAUUAUUGUUGUUUUUAGCCUAGUAGCAUAAUCGAUUAUGCUUUGAUAAUCGUCUUAACUGUGUAAAAGGGUUCCUAAUCGAUUAUGUGUUGUGAUAAUCGAUUAUGGUUGUUUUUUUGCCUACUAACAUAAUCAAUUAUGCGUUCAUAAUCGAUUAUCCUGUGUGUGUAAGUGAUGCCAUAAUCGAUUAUGUUCUAAAUUUUUUGAAAUAUAAAUGUUUGUUAAUUUAUUUGUUUUCUGUUAUUUUUAGGUGUGUUGAUCUUCCUAUAAGCCAUCCUAUUGCUGUUCUUGAGUGCUUAUCUUCAGGUUUUAAAUUUUUUUUAUGUAAAAUUAUUUUAUUUAAUUUCUGUUUUAUAUUUAUGAUUAUGGUUUUGUAAUAUAAUUUGUUUAGAAUUUAUUUUAGUUUAUUAUGUUAAGGCUGUUGUUGUAAUAUAAUUUUUUUAGAGUUUAGUUUAGUUAAUUAUGUUAAGUAGUUACUAGAUAGUUAAUUAAAUAUGUUAAGGAGUUUAGUUUAUUAAAUUAAUUGUUUCAGUUGAUUUAUUAUUUUAAUUUUUGUAGAUAGUUAUUAAUUUAUUAAGAAAAAUAUUUAUUUCUAUGAAAUGAAUUAUUUACAGAAUGGAAACAGAAAUUUGUAAAUUUUAGGUUUUUUAUUAUAUUAAACAUAAAUUAUUAAUGUUAUAAUUAAAUCAAAUAAAAAAAGUUGUUGUGAUUAAAGAAAACUGAAAAAUUUAAGAUAAAUAUUGUUUAUAAGAGAAUAUAUAUUGUAUAAUAAUAAAUAUACAAAGUUAAUAAAUAUUGUAUAAGAAAACUGAAAUAUUGUAUAAUAAUAAAUAUAUAAAGUUAAUUUUUUUUUAACAUUUAAUAGAAAUGUUUAUAAGAGAAUAGAUAAUUUUUUUAAAUGAAUAUUUGUAUUCUGUAUGGUUAAUAUUUUUUUAAAUUGGACAUAAAUUAUUAAUGUUAUUAGUUGAAAAGAUUAAAAAAAAUGUUUUUGUAAUUUUUGUUAUAAGAUUUAAUUGUUAUAAGAAAAAAAUGAAUGUAUUUAAAAUGAAUAUUUUUAAAAAUUUGUAAUUUGUAGGUUUUUUAAAAAGUAAUUGAUAUUUUAGAAGUAUUAUUUUUAAUUGAUAUUUUAGUUAUAAAUGUAGAAAGUAAUUAUUUAUUUCAAAAUGAAUUGUUUAUGAAAUAGAUUUUAAAAAAUUUAUUUUGACAUAAUGGAAUUCAAAAUUUUAAAAAUAUUUGAUAGGGUUUUCAUUUUUGUAGAUUAAACAUAAUUUAUUAAUGAUAUAAUAAAAAACAUUAUAAAAAUGUUGUAUUAAUUAAAAAAAUAGUAAAAGUUUAAAGUAGAAAUAUCAUUUUGAGUUAUUUUGAGUUAUUCAGGUGGUGAAAGUCAAAGGAGGUUCAUAUGAAUGAGUAAGUUGCUUGAAAGAUAACUAAUUUGACUUGCUAUAUGAAUUAACCCUGUCAUACUAGGGAGAGAUUGUAUUGAGAUUAUUUAUGCGCAUAAAUGUGUGGAUUUCACAGUAAUAUAGUAUGACAGGUGCAAAUCUUUGAGUCUAAGUUAACGCACGAGUCUUCCGGAAAUAUAGUCAAAUGUCUAUGUGUUGUGAGUCAGUAGAAGUCUGACAUGUGAAAGAUAAAUUAUGAAUUUUAAUAGACACUUGAUGAUUUGAGAAAUUUUAUGAGACUUGAUGAAUUAUGUUUAUUAAUGUGAAAUUGAAAUUAUAUAGAAAUUUUUAUAUAACUAGCUUACCAUGUUCUUUGUUUGUGUUUGUUUCUUUAUCUGUGAUGAUCGUGUUUUACACGAGAAUGAGAUUGCAGGUAAUAGAGCUCCUUAGUGAGCACCUGAAGGAUGAAAUUACUUUAAUUUGAAUGUUUUGUUUUGUUUUUAAAACUUUUGGUGUAUAUAUUAAAAUUAUACAAUUAUGAGAUAGUUGUAUAUACUCAUAUGUUAAUUAGAUAUUGUUUGUUUUACUUCUGUUUUAUUAAAUAUGGGUAAAAAUUAGGAAUGUUACAUCUUCAAUCCGCUUUCGAAGAUAUCAACUAACUGAUUUACCAAUCUCCAGGUUGACUUUUGAGUUGCACUUAUACUAGGGGUUCAUCAAAAGAUGGUCGAUUCUCCACAAACUCGGCCCUAGGAUCUAGAAAACCUCAUUCUCAUCGUCUUAUGGGAACUCAAUGUGAAACGCCUGCUCGAUAAAGUUGUUGGUAUCCCCAUGGCCUUGGUCAUUUACUUCCCUGUGCUCCUUCGGGUAGGCUAUGGCCUCGCCAAUUGUUGUUGUGGUCAAGGUCUUUACAAAAUAAGAGAUGACCUUGAUGUUCUCAACAUAACACUCCCUUAUCAUCUUCAGAUUUGCCUUCACUAUGAUUAUUUUACCAUUGUCACUGAAAACUUCAUGGUCAUGUGUAGUCGACACUAUGGCGUCCAAUUGAUUAAUACUUUUGCAUUUGAUGAUGUCAUUGCAGGAUGUGGUACCACAAUGAGAGAUAAAUGGAACUCUUAUUCUGGUCAGGGGAAUAGUAUUUUUGUUUCAAAGGUAAGCUGAAGAGUAUGAAAGUUGAUAUCAAGGUGUGGAAUUGGGAUGUGUUCGGGCACCUGGAAUCUGAGAAGAAGAAUUGUUUGAUGGAUAUUGAGGAGCUUGAUGUCAAAGAUGAGGGUGAUGCUUUGCCAGAGAGUUUAAGGACGAGAAGGUUGGUUCUCAUCAAUCAUGUAGAAGAGAUCAAUAAGAAGUUGGAAUCUAUGUUUAGGCAGAAAGCUAGAGCUAAUUGGCUUACGUUUGGGGACUCUAAUUCCAAGUUUAAUCAUUAUGUAAUUAGAUGGAAGAGACUUAGAAAUGAGGUUAAGGGUGUCGAAGUGGGAAGUUUUUGGGUUGAGGAAUCUAAGGUAGCGCGCAGGGAAGUGGUGAAGCUUUUUGAAGCUAAAUUCUCGGCUACUCAGGAUUUUGGAGUCAGACUUGAGCAUGUUGAGUUCAAAUCCUUAUUAGAGGAGGUUAGCUUAAGUCUGGUGUCCAAGAUCACAGAGGAAGAAGUAAAGGAUGUUGUCUGGUUGUAUGAGGGGUCAAAAAGUCCUGAACCAGAUGACUUUAAUUUUAAUUUUAUCAAGAACAGUUGGGAAGUGCUGAAGCUUGAUGUGGUAGCUGUUGUUCACCCUUUUCAGGAAACAAGUUGUAUUUCUAAAGAGUGUAAUGCGUCUUUUAUUAUCCUUGUCCCCAAAGUUAGGGACCCUAUAAGUCUGGACCAAUACAAACCUAUUUCUCUUGUAGGUUCACUGUAUAAAAUUAUUUCGAAGGUCUUAUCAUGUCGCAUAAAACAAGUUUUACCCGAGGUUAUAGAUGACUGUCAAUCAACUUUCUUAAAGUAAAGAGAAUGUUAAAUAACGUUCUAGUUCUAGUGGCUAAUAAGGUUAUUGAUGAGAUGAGGAGAAAAAAAAAAAAUGUUUUGUCAAUUAUGAAAAGGCAUACAAUUCUGUCAGCUGAGUGUUUCUCUUUCAUAUCCUUUAAAAGUUAGAAUUUCACAAUAAAUGAAUGUUUCUGUUUGAUAUGCUUUGGAAGUUGUGAUUUCACAAUAGAUGGAUUGCGUGGAUCAGAGUCUUUUAAUAGAAAACAAGUAUUUUAAUAAUUUAUACAUAUGAAAGUACAGUGACCGUAUAAAAGUUGUUGUACUGUAACAAAUCAAUAUACAUUAUAAGUUCAUUAUUUUAUAUAAUAACUAUAUAGAUCGUCAAAGUUAAACUAAAGUGACUAUAAAUUAAACUAAAAAAUAAUUAAUUUCCAAAUAUUAUCAUGUAGAAAAUAAGUUGGAGUAAAAAAUAUUAUAAAAAAUAGCUUAACAAUGUGGAAAAAAGGAAAAGAAAAAAAAAACCAUGGAGGAAGAUAACUUUAACUAUGGACACACUCUGAAAGUGAGAUUCGUCAAACAUAUUUUAAGAGUUAUAGAUGAUAGUGAUGAUGAAUAGUGGAGAUAAGUUUCACUAUACUUGUUUUUACCUUUUAAGUAAAAAUUAACAUUCCUGAAAAAAAUAACAUUAUUCAUUUCCAUUUUGAUGGGGAUAAAAUUAGUCUCAUAUUAAUGUAAAAAGAAUACACUGUCUUCUUAGCACCAAUUAAAAAUAAAAAGUUAUAAUAAAAUAAAAUUCAAAAUAAAGUAUUAAAGAAAAUAUUGUUAAUAAUUUAAAACAAAUAUAAGAAUUCGUUAAAUUUCAUAUCUAAUUUAAAUAAUUAAAUUAAACAUUGUUCAUAUAAAGACAAAUUCGAAUAAUAGUAAGACAUAAAAUAUUUUUUCAUCGAGGUGAUUUCACCGAUUACAUGGAACGAUUGAUUGUGUUUUUUUUUCAGAAAAAAAGAAAAAAUAUCUCAUUUGCUUAAAGACAAAAGAAUAUUAACUAUAUUUCUAAAAAUAAAGAAUAAACUUAACAACGAGAACAACUAAUUAAUUAAAUACAUACGUUUGUAUAUAUACUAGUAGCCUAUACCAUGUUUAAUUAUGAGUAUAUGCGAUUAUUCUUAAAUUAUUAUGUCACUUUUGUUUUUCAUAUCUAUGUCCUUCUUAUUUGAAGGCUAAGCCUAGUCACGCAUCAACUUGAACAUCAACUUGGAUUCCUACGGUCCUAUGAAUGCAUAUAACUUGCCCUCAAUCCCACAAUUACAUAAAUUAAAUAAAAUAUUAAAACAAAUAAUUUAAAAACAACUUAAGUGGUUUAAAGUCAGAUUCACUUUUGUAUGAUUUCUUUAAAAAAAAUUACCAUUUUAUUUUAAUUUAUAUGUUACUGUUUAUUAUAAAAAAAAUUAAUUUUAAAAAUUAAAAAAUAAUUAAUUUUUAUAUUGAUUAAAUUAGAUAUUAUUCUUUUAAAUAAUAUUUUAAUUUUUUUUAUUAAUAUCUAAAUUAUUUUUUAUUAUUUUAAAUUGAUAUUUAAUUAAUUAUAAUAUUUUAAUUACCAAUUUUAAAAUUUAAAUACUUAAUAAUUAAAAACUUAACAGCUAAUUAGAUAUUAAUUUAAAAAUUAUUUAUUAAUAACAAAAAAUAAUUUAGAUAUUAAUAAAUUUUUAAUUUUUAAAAUAGUAUUUAAUUUAAUUAAGAUAAAAAUAAAUUAUUUGUUAUUUUUAAAAUUAAUUUUUAUUUAAAUAUUUUCUAACAGUGGGUGAAGCAUAAUUUCAGAUGAAAGAGAUUUUAGGUGUUCUUUAAAUGGAUUUACUUAUAAUAUUGGUUUACAUUAAUUCAAUAUUGCAAUGGUUAUACAAACAUUUUUAACAAGUAUUGUAUUGAUAAUAUUAAAACGUAUUUUAUUUAAUAAGUUUGAUAAAACUUAAUAAAUAAUCAACUUAGGCCUUCCAUGUUAUAGUUUGAAGAAUUAAAAUUGAUUUUUGGUAAAGAAAGUUGGAAAAUGGUGAAGAUUUGUUCCCCCUUCUCGAAAACAAGUUUAAUAUUAAGUGAAAGUGACAUAUGAGAUCCUGAUGGAUCUAAAGUGGAAAACCAGUUUAUGAGAGAUUGGUGUUUUCGAAAGCACCUCAGAAAAAAACAUGUCGGUUGAUUUUAUAAAGGUUCUCGAAUUAAGCAUGUCGGUAAUGACAUUUAAAAUAAACAUGUUUUAUUGAAUCAAAUCUGCAAUUGGUGAUUUGUGUCUGAGACAAUAGGCACCCUUUCAUCAUCAGGAGCAGUUAUCGAUAUUCUUCACAUAAAAUAGUGGAGUUGGUGGUCACUAAUCAAAUGCAACCUCUUUCUUUUUUUUGUUUUGACAGCUCCCAUAAUGAAUUUUUUUUGAAGAAUUUGCGACCUCUUUCACACUGAUUACAUUCAUUUAUAUUUAAAUAAAUUAUUAUUUUAUUAUAAUAUAAUAUUUUAUUUAAAAAAACUUAAUACAUUUUAUUAUAAUACAAUAUUUUAUUCCAAAAAAAUAUUAUAGAAUAAUUACUUUUACUAUUUUGUCUGAAACAAAUUUUAAUCAUUUUAAAUCGAUGGCCGUCCUCCUGGAGCACUAGACCCCAGAUCUGUGAGCUACCGAUGUUGACGAAAGUAUAAAGAAAUAUUUGGAAGUGAGAAUUGCAUUAAUUUAGGAAAACUAAAUGAUUCUUUCUACAAAAUUAUUCUCACUCCUUAAAACCUUGAAUCGUGAUGUCCCAAAUAGGGCACAAAUCAAGCCACCCAUCUUAAAACCCUCAAUAUUGUCUUUACAUCUUUAUUUAUGAGAAAAUAUAACUUAAUAAAUAAUAUUUAUGUUGAAGAUUUUUAUUAUUAAUAAAAAUAUUUUAUAAUAUAUAAAUCAAUAUACACUUUAUAAGAUAAUAAGAUUUGAUAAGAUUGAAUUAAAUUUAAAGUUUAUUUUUUUAAUAUGGUAUUAAUAUAGUUUAUUUUAAUAAAAAUUUAUUAGAUGAUUAAAUUAUCUAUUAUUAGAUUCUUAUGGAAUGAUUCAUUAUAUAGUAUUAAACACAACCUAACAAUCUCGAUGAUAGAUGUUAUGUUAAAAAUUAUGUAUUAAUUAGAAAUAAUAAUAUUUUAUAAUAGGUAAGUUGAUGUAAAUUUUAUUUCAUAAAUUAAUUUUAUUAAAUAGAGUUAUGUUAAAUAUAUUUAUUAAUAUUUCAAACAAAAUUGAGUUAAUUACAAUAAAAAUUAUAUUACUAAGAAUAGUCACAUAUGCUUAGAUAAAAAAUGUUAUCAAUUCAAGUGAGUAUCUGGUCUUCUCCAAAAAAAACUCAACAAAAAUGUCACAUCUUUAGAACUCUAUUUAUGGAUAAAUAAAUAAUUAUCUUAUCUUAAUGUAAUAUAAUUUGUUGGGUAUAUCUUCUUCCAUUUUUCCUACAUAUAAUAUUGACAUAAAUUUAAAACUAGUAUUUUUAUUUAUAUAUAAUAAAAUUUAUAAAUUUAUGUUAUAUACUAAUUUAAUAAAAUUAAUUAAUUUGUAAAUAAUUAUAAAAAUUUGGUGUAUUAUAUUUGUUAUAGAUAUUACAUUAUAAUUUUAUUAUAAACUUAUAAUGUAAUAUCUAUAACAAAUAUAACACAACAAAUUUAUAUAAUUAUUUAAAAAUUGUGGACACUUAUUUCCGCUAGUAUUUAUAAUUAUUCUGACAUAAAAUUUUAACUAUAUUUUUUAGGAUAUUAAAUAAUUAUUAUUCAAAUAUUUUUAAGAUAUUAAUUAUAUUUUGAAAACAUUAUAUCAUUUUUGUAAUAUAGAAAUGGUUAUAUAAAUAUAUUAUAAUUUUGUAUAAUUUAAUUAAUAAUUUUUAUAACUUAUUAAAAAAUAAAUUAAAUUUUUUUCUAUAAAAUUAUAUGCAAUUUUUUUCUAUUUCAAUAUAAUUUAUCUUAUAUCUUAACAUUAUUUAGUUUGUUACCAUAUUUUUAUCUUAUUAUAUUUUCAUCAUGCCAUAUUUUUAUUUUAUUGUAUCAUAUUCUUCUAUUUUAUUAUAUUGUGUUUACUAAACGAAUGUUUAAAAUUUAAAACAGUUAUAAUUUAUAUACAUUAUUUUCUCUAAACUCAUUAAGACGUUUUUGAAAACAAAGAAUUUAACAAAAGUUGAUAUUACACAUGAAAUAAUUCUCAAUCAAAUUUGCUAACGUAAUCAAUUUCUUUUGUAACAUCCUAAUUUUUACCCAUAUAUAAUGAAAUAAAAGUAAAACAAGCAAUAUCUAAUUACGAAUAAUAUAUAUACUACUUUCUCAUAUGUGUAUCUCAAAAGAAAUAUCCCUCCUCAUAGGGAUUUAAUAUAUACAUCAAAAGUUUUAACAACAAAACAAAGCAUUCAAAUAAAACUAUCUCAUUCUCCAGCUGCUCACUAAGGAGCUCUAUUAUCUGCAAUCUCAUCUGCUCCCGUGUAAAACACGAUCAUCACAGAUAAAGAAACAAACACAAACAAAUAACAGGGUAAGCUAUCUAUAUAAAAAGUUUUGAUAUAAUUCAAAUUUUAAAUUAAUAAGCAUAAUUCAUCAAUUCUCAUACGAUUUCUCAAACCAUCAAGUGGCUAUUACAUUCAUAAAAUUCAUAUUUCAUAUAUCAGACUUCUAUUGACUCAUAACACAUAGACUCUUGACUCUACUUCCGGAAGACUCGUGCGUUGACUUAGACUCAGAGAUCUGUACCUGUCAUACUAGCUCACUGUGAAAUCCACACAGUUAUGCGCAUAAAGAAUCUCAAUAUCAUAUCUCUCCUAGUAUGAUAACUUCAUCUAUAUGAUUUCAUUAUCUCAGGAGAGUCAGGAUAUCUCCUUCUAGACGAAUCCCUAGUCAAUGCACAUCCUAAACAAUCUUAACACGAUAUUUUCUUUCCUGAAAAUACUAUGUUUUGAUUUAAAAAUAUAUUCUAAACAUUAAAAUCUCCCACAUCAAACAAUCAAAUCAUUCCACAAUUUAGAAUUUCCAAAACACCCAACAAUUCAUUUCAACUAGAAUGAAAAUAAAAGGAGAAUGAAAUAAAAUUAUCUUCCAACUACAACUAUAUCCAACAGUAUAGUAUUUAAUAAAAAGGAUGAGGAAGCCACAACAUGANNNNNNNNNNNNNNNNNNNNNNNNNNNNNNNNNNNNNNNNNNNNNNNNNNNNNNNNNNNNNNNNNNNNNNNNNNNNNNNNNNNNNNNNNNNNNNNNNNNNNNNNNNAAUUUUAGUUCAUAAACUGAAUCAUCAAGAAAUAUUCAAAAUAUAUAUGCUCUGAAAUUGUCAAGAAACAAAUAAUCACAAACCUUUUUCAAAUACAUUCAUCAAUUCCAAACUUAUAUACAUUCUACAUCAUCUACUAUAUCUAAAUUUUAGAUUUCAAUCUCAAAACAGUUUCAAUCUCAAACAUCAAUCUCAAACAUCAAUCUCAAACAUCAAUCUCAAACAGUUUCUAUCUCAAACAGUUUCUAUCUCAAACAGUUUCUAUCUCAAACAGUUUCUAUCUCAAACAGUUUCUAUCUCAAACAGUUUCUAUCUCAAACAGUUUCUAUCUCAAACAGUUUCUAUCUCAAACAGUUUCUAUCUCAAACAGUUUCUAUCUCAAACAGUUUCUAUCUCAAACAGUUUCUAUCUCAAACAGUUUCUAUCUCAAACAGUUUCUAUCUCAAACAGUUUCUAUCUCAAACAGUUUCUAUCUCAAACAGUUUCUAUCUCAAACAGUUUCUAUCUCAGUUUCUAUCUCAAACAGUUUCUAUCUCAAACCGUUUAAACAAAUUAUUCACCUUAAAAUCAAUAUAAAAAAUUCACAAUCAACCAUUUGAAGAGACAAUCCUGAAAGCAAAAACAAUUGAAAUUGGUGACCACGUCACCUCCAAAUCCAGAAUCUUCUAACCUAUGGUUUCAUUGAAAAUAAUAAGACUAGCUUCCCUUACCUGAACUUUAGCUGAUGCUCACUAAGAGCUCCAAAUCUACCAAAUGCACCGUCCUACUCAAAAGUUGAGUUAGAUAUUAACCCGUACAAAAUCUAAGAUUAACCCGUACAAAAUCUAAUAAGAUCAAAAUUAACUCAAAAGAAAAAGGGGUCAAGAAGGAACUUAAAGAAAAUAUUUUGAUGGAUUCAAAACCAGGAGUCCAACGGCAGACUCUGAUCGCCAAACUAGGAAGUUAGAAUCUUAUAGAAAAGGGAGAAAAGGAAAAAGAGGAACAAAACUGAACUUACUCUGAUCAUCAAACUGAUGAGCGAGGAGAGUUAGAGAGAAGGGAGAGUAAGGAAAAACGAAACUUUUAGAGAGAUGGUGGUUAUUUUAAAAUGAAACAUGAAUAACUGAAUUUUCUAUUUAUAUAUCAUUUUCAUUUUAAUAAUAAAAUAUUCAGUAUCAUUUAAAAUAUACAACUUCUACUCUAAGAUUAUCAUCUAAAAUAUUUAUAUAUCUUUUAACGCUUGCGUUGUUUUAAAGUUAACAAUACACCGCUCACCCUUAAUUUUGUUUAAUUUUGAAAGCUUUGAAAUAAAAAGCUAAUUCUCAACCCUGUCACUCCUUUCUUAAAGGAGCCCUUUCUUUUUUAUUCAACGCUCGAAACUAUUGUUUACAAGAAUAAUAAUAAUAAUAAAAAAACAAUUUCUCCUUUAGUAGUUUUGAAUGGGCCAAACUAUACUCUUUUCAAGAUCUCUCCUGGGCUUUUUCUUUCUGAAACUCCUAAUUUCAAUUUACACCUCCAUAAAUUUAUACUACAAGAAAAUCAUAAAAUAGAAACCAAUUUUUAGAUAUCAAAAUAAUUAGUUGUAAUAGUAACUAAAUUAGAGACCAGUUUAGAAACUAAAAAAAAAUUGAUUUCUAAAUUAGUUUCUAUUAUUGUUAAAUAAUUUUUAAAUUGGUAUCUAAUUAACUACUAAGGUUUUAACUACCAAUUAUUUAGUUUCUAAAUUUGGUUACAAAAAUCUUGGUUGCUAAUUAGAUAUCAAUUUAGAAACCAUUUAACAAUAAUAGAAACUAAUUUAGAAAAAAUAUUUUUUUUUAAUUUUUAAAAUGGUUUCUAAUUUAGUUACUAUUACAGCUAAUUAUUUUGAUUUUUAAAAAUUGGUUUCUAUUUCAUGAUUUUUUUUAGUGUUAAAUAUUCUAAAUUUAUCUUUUUAAAAUUAAAUACUUUAUUUGAUUAGUUGGUGUUAGAAUGUUUGUUACGUUUAUGAAGGAUGUGGUGUGGUUCGUAGUGGUGCUUAGUGCAUUUGGUGAAUAUCUGAAUUUUUGCAUUUUGAGUUUCACUUUUUUAUAUCACACAAUCUGGACAACUUUUACAUUAUAAAUCUAUAAUAUUAAUUUUUUAUUUUAUUUUAUAAAUUAUAAUCUGAAAUUUAUAUUUAUAUAUUUUUAAUAUAUAUUUUAAAAUAUAAAAUUUGUGAUUUUUUUAAAUAUUUUGUUUUUAUUUUAUUCUUAAGUUGUGGAAUUGCAUCACAAUCACAUAUAUUUCAUUGGUUUGUACAAACAACUAUAGAAAACAACUUUAGAAGUGAGGGCUGAAUAUAGAGAUGAAAUUCUAAUAUUGAACCAAAAUAUACGAUGAAGUAGAAAAGUUGUUUGUGAUGAAUCAAUUGGAUAUAAUGAAGUUUGUGACAACUUAAAAUGAAUUGGUUGAAGGAAAUUGUGUUUGCUCUUUAACAACAAAUAAUAUAAUUAUAAUUUAAUUAAUUUAAGUAGAAACAUGUGAUAUAUGACAUUUUUUUUAUUAGCAAAGAAUAGAAUUAAAUUAAAAGGGACAUUUCAAACCCUUAUACAAGAACCAUUCACCACAUAUAGCUAUAACAGAUCGAGGCAACCAAACCAUAAAAAUAAAUACAACACUAAGAAACCAGACACGAAAGGGCUGCCAAUACAGCUACAAAAGUGCUUCUGAAUUAUGCCGCAGAAACAAGGAAACUUGUCCCAGCAACCUGUACCGCAUGAGCUACAUUAAACGCCAUCUGGAUGCUGCCCCAUGACUACAAUACCUCUGUUGCAGCCCCAAAAACAUCCUGCUGAAACCUGCUUCUAGUCCCUUGGCCCAUCUUGUUGGUACUUCAAUGUACACAUGACCCCCAAACUGCUUACAACCGGAUCACCUACAUUGCACAAAACUAGCAACCAACAACAUUCCAACCAAAUCUUCACUUGGAUUGCCUUAAUUACUAAAGCCAAGUAGAUUCCACCUUUUUCACUUACCAACAGCACCUUCCAGGUACACCAAUGGGAGCUCCAGAUAUAAAACCAACCACGUCACAAGAUCUAAAGCAGCAUGUCGGGUUUACCUUCUUAUUUGGACAACAGCAAAAAUGCGCCUUCCAAAGGACCAAUCACUUCAGCUGCUUGUCACAAAUAUGCAAUAUAACUUAGGUCCACCCUGCACCAGCAUAGUUGGCUGCAACGCAUCAAAACAACCCCUCAACAUUAGAUUGUUACACCGUGGUCAGAGAUUGAUCAUAGUCGUGACUCAUGCAUUUGAAAGAUUCAAAAGGAGAGUCCCUUCGCACUCAUUCACAUAAACUCUCAGCUUUGGCAUAAGCUUUCCUUCAUAAUAGGAUACUCCAUCCCAAUCUAUUCUAGUAGCUACAAUCACAUUACAUCAGGAAAAACUUCUAAAAUGCUACCCCACACCACAGCUCCUACUUCACUCACCUUUCAACACUUCCUACUGAUUUCCUCACCACUUCCUCCCUUAAUUUCAUCUGCUUCACUACAUAACCGUUAUGCUUCAAAUCUGGAUAUAGAAACAAGCUGUGUGAAUAUCAGUAUUCACAUUAACUGCUCAAAAGUUCUAAAAGACCCUGCUCUGUUUGAUUUCUGCAACAACUACACAACCACACCACUACAGAAUACUAUGCUCCUCCAUUAUGACCAUCAAUCAUUCCUCCAAAAGCUCCUUGGCUUCGAGUCCAUCAUCACUAGAGACCUCCCUUUUCAGAGUACACUUUGAAGGCAUUGGCUUGGGUUCAGAUGCCAAUUCGAAGAAGCAUACGAAAAGGAGCACACCCUGUGUUUCAACCAUAACCAAGUAAGGAGUUGAGCCAUUUGGAAAAUUUCUUCAGCGUCAGGUACCCCUAGCUUAAAGAUAACACUAUUCCUCUUCUCCAAGAUGCAUCGAACUAUUGCCACCCACAUACCUUUCAACACUUGAUUCGGCUUAAUAGACAUAUGAGCCAGAUAAAAGUUCUCAAAGUGACACCUCAAAUCCUUAUGUUGAACAAACAUAACACCUAUCCACCUGAAGCAUAAAGACCAAACUCGUUGUGCAAAAGAACACUCCCAGAACAAGUGUUGAGUAGUUUCUUCUGACUCUCUACAAAGCACACAAAUAGAAGAGUUUACUGCCACCCCUCUCCUAAGAAGAUUAACAGAAGUUGGGAUUUUGUCGAGUAAGAUUCUCCAUGCAGUUAUAAGGGCUUUAGGCAUUGCUUUAACCUGCCAAAGAGAACAAAAACCGCUAUCAUGUGCAUCAUUGUUUUGAUUAGCCAGACGUACAUAAGCUGACUUCACAGAGAAGUUCCCUGUGGUAUCCCCUCCCCAGACAAGAAUAUCCUUGGAUUCCUUGUUCAUGAUGCCUUUGUUAAUGUGCGUAAGCAACUCUUCCUCCAAAAACGGAUUCCCAAUCAAACCUAGCCCUCCUCCAAUUUAGCCUCCAUUGCCAUCCAUAAACCUCGCACGUACCUACCUCUCCCACCUUCAUUCCUUGAUCCAUAGAAAGAGAAUAAAGUCUAGGAUACAUAGACUUAAGAUUAUUGUUAUUAACCGAAGCGUCUUCCCAGAAUCUAACAUUGCCUCUAUCACCAACUUUCCACACAAUAGUCUUUUGGAACCAAUCAUCAUCUUCACCCUCUCCACAAGCUUUAGAAAGAUCUCUCCACCACCAAGACUGUCAUUUCGAACGGGCUUGGCUUCUUCCUAAUUCCGAACCAUACUUAGAAAAAAGAAUGUCUUUCCACUUCCCUUUUUCAUCCUUCAUCAGUCAUCAUUUCCAUUUUUGUCAGCAAAGCAUUAUUAAAGUUUAUGAAAUCUUUAAUCCCCAACCCUCCUUUCUCAAGGGGUUUACACACAUUCUCCCAUCUUACCCAUGAUAUAGACCAGUUAUCUCUGCCCCAAGCCCAAAGGAACUUCCUUUGUAUACUGAUUAUUCUGUUACAAACCGACAUCGGUGCUUUAAAGAAGGACAAGUAAAAGAGAGGAAUGGCGGUAAACACCGAUUUAAGUAAGUAGACUCUUCCUGCCAUAGAUAAAAAUCUCCCCUUCCAGAUACUAAGUCUAGCAUUGAUUUUGUUUAUGACUGGCUCCCAAAACUAUUUCUUCCUUGGGUUACCUCCUACUUCUAAUCCCAGAUAUUUAAAAGGGAUCGUCAUGGUCAUGCAGUUCAGAGUUUUUGCAUAGGUAUUGAGGGAGAAGCUAUCAACACCAAUGCCUGCCAACUUUGAUUUGUGGAAGUUGAUUUUUAGACCUGAGGCAAGUUCAUAACACCUUAGCAUCGCCUUUAUAGUGAAGACAUUAAAGAAUGAGUCUUCGCACAUAAACAAAGUGUCAGCAGCGAAUUGUAACAAACAACACUCAAUUUCAUUCCUCCCCACCUUCUCACCUUUGAGCAAAUUCAGUUUUGACACUUGUCUCACUAACCCGGCCAAGCCUUCAGCUACCACGAGGAAGGGAAACAGAGCUAAAGGAUCUCCCUGUCUUAACCCCCUAGAGGGUUUAAAUUCCUCCGUAGGGCUACCAUUAACCAGAACAAACACAAACAACGACUCCAAGCAUCCUCUGACCCACGCAAUCCAUUUAGAAUGGAAUCCCAACCUUUGUAACAUAUCAAAGAGGAAUUUCCACUUAACCGAGUCGUACGCCUUUUCGUAGUCCACCUUCAAACAAAUCCCACUCCUCCGUUUUCUAGUUACCUCCUCAACCACCUCAUUUGCCAGAAGGACACUAUCUAACCUUCCACGAUCCUUCAAAAAAGCUAACUGACUCUCAUCAAUGACCAGAGAGAGGACAUCCUUCAUACGAAACGAUAACACCUUAGCUAUGAUCUUAUAGAUGGAUCCUACAAGGGAAAUUGGUCUGAACUGGUCAAGCGUAGUAGGGUCCCUGACUUUAGGUACAAGUGCGAUGAAAGAGGCGUUACACCCCUUUGGAAUGCACCCCGUUUCCUAAAAGAAGUGCAUCGCUUCCACAAUGUCAGACUUAAAAGUUUCCCAACUAUUCUUGAUGAAAUUGAAAUUGAACCCAUUCGGGCCCGAACUCUUUGAACCUUCACAUUGCCAAACAACUUCCUUCACCUCUUCCUCUGUGAAGCUGGACACUAUUCUUAAACUAACCUCCGCGGGAAGGGUUUUGAACUCCACAAUACCAAGAUUAACCCCACAAUCAUGUGUAACCAAGAAUCUUUGAUUAAAUGUACUCUUAGCUUCCCUACAAAUAACUUUCAGCUCUUCACACCAUUGAUGAUCAAUCUCUACACCUUUGACCUCAUUUUUAAGUCUUCUCCACUUGACUCCAUUGUGAAAGAAUUUAGAAUUUGUAUCUCCCAACUUAAACCAGUUUGCUCUAGAUUUUUGUCUACAAAGAGAUUCCACCUGCUUAUCAAUCAGCCUCAACUGACUAAACAACUCCAUUCUUCUCAACUGACCGUGCUCCUCAAGAAUAUUGUUGUCAUCGUUAACAUCGAGAUCUUCAAUAUGCCUCAAAAUUUGCUUCUUCUUGGACUCUAGACACUCAAACACAUUUUUGUUCCAUUCUUUAAGGUCGGCCUUUAGAAGCUUCAAUUUAUCUUUGAGUUUAGAUAUGCUAUUCCCCUGCACAUUAUAAGAACACCAUUUCUCCUUCACAAAGUCCUUGAAACUAGGCUCCAUAAACCAUGCGUCAAUGGUUCUAAAAGGUUUAGACCCCCAAUCUUUGACCGAAAAUUUCACCACUAUAGCGCAAUGGUCGGAUACCACUCUCGGUUGUACAUAUUGCUUGCAAGACGGCCAAAUUUGAAGCCACUCUUAGGAAACAAGAAACCUAUCUAAUCUGCUUUUACCUGUACCAUUUGACUUGAACCAAGUAUAUUUUUGACCUACUACGGACACGUCCACCAAGUAAUUGCUUUCAAUAAAAUCAUUAAAGCCACUAAUCUCCUUUUUUUUGACUAGAAUUGCCUCUAACUCCUUUCCUUUCAUCUUCUCUUCUAACUGCAUUAAAAUCCCCACAAAAGCACCAUGCCACACUUUGAUGCAUACUCUUAAAAGACGUCAAAGUUUCCCACUGAGCAACCGUAUCACUUAAAUUGCAUGCUGCAUAAACGUUUAUCACAACACACAAGCUAUUAGAUUUAAGGUGUUGGCCCAGAAUAACAAUAAAGCCACUUCCUACAACAUGUUUAUCAUACCGAAAUGCUUCUUUGUGCCACAUGGAUAAGAUGCUCCCUGCCCCAUUCACUCCUUCAUUAUGUAUCCACCCAACAUUACUAUCUCUCCAUAGCGAAAAACAUUUAUUGUCUGAUAAAGUAGAUGCUUUUGUCUCUUGCAAACAUAAGAAUUCCGUACCCUCCUUAGCAAUAAAGUGUUUCAAAUAGCGAGCUUUAGAAACCCCCCAGACCUCUAAUAUUCAUAUUGAUAAUAAUCAUAACACACCGGCAUCCUCCUCAGACGACAUCAUUACUUCGUUAUCUCUAACCUCCAUACAAUCCAUUUCUCUAAUCACUGCCUCCUCAUUACCUGAACAUUUCAUCCCCAGAUGUUUACCCGUUCCCCACAACUUGACAGAUUCAGUAUCAUUCCAUUCGACCCUCAGACGGUUAUUACAAUUGAUAAUAUCACUAUCAGUUCCGGCUUUAGAGCAGAGGCUUAACCUGGAUGAGGAUCUGAUCCCAUAUUGAAGGGUUCCUUGGCCUCCCUUGGACAUCCUUCGUGGUUGUGCAGAGGUCGCACCCAAUUCCCAGAGAGCGCGUAUCCUCUGGACUCUCUCUGGUGACUUGAACCCUUCCUUCGCACCUGCAUCUUCCUCCCAGUGCCAUCGGUCCUCCUUUCUAACACUAAAUUAUCCUCGAUUCCCUCUUCGCAGAGACUUUGAUUAUGGUUAUUAAGAAGGUCCUUGUCGCUGCAUUCCGAGGAGCUUCCGUCAUUGCCGCACCGCUUAACAAAAGGAGUUUCUUCUGUUUUAGUCAGUGUAUUCGCCUUUCCUUUCGUCGGUAGGGGUGCCCCAUAUAACAACUCACCUGAACGAUUCUCCAUCUCACCUUCGACGUCACCGGAGUAGACAGGCGAAGCCUUCGGACUUCCUGUCACUCCUAACAUGUCCCCUGAAUGACCCUCUGCCUCUCUACCCCCACCUCCCGUAUUCACAGGGCCCAAUAACAAAGUUUUUUGAUUUUGGGCUUCAACGACAAAAAGAUGGCCCACACAUGUUUCAGGCCAAGUAACCUUUGCACAAGAUAAUUGUACCUCAGCUAAGUUAGCCAAAGAAUUUUGAAUAAUCAUGCAAGCUGCGUUGACCUGUUGUGCCACUGAUAAAGCUGCCCCUACAUCAGAACCUACCUUCUCACGCAUUGCCUUAUUUGAGUAGGAGGAUCUGUCUUUUUGCUGACACACCAAAUCAUUCUGACAACACUCUUCCAAGAGCUUCUUUUUUUGUCUCUAGCGGAGCACAAACUUUGUCUCCUUCCUUGGUCGCCUCCGGUUGCCGUAAAACACCACCGUCAUCACCGUUCUCAUCCCCAUCAUCACUAGAUCUUGACGAGAAAAUCGUUUCCUCAACAAAGGAUUCCAUUGAAGAAACGCUAUCUGAGGAGUCGUAGUGAUUCACGGGGCAAUUACACACUCCUACCCCUUGCAAGGGUUCCUCCUCAACUAGAGAAAUAUUAAAAGCUUUUCCAUUAAUCUGAAAGGCCUUUACCACCCCUUCUUUACAGGACAACGACAUACGAACCUGGAAACGAGCAAAUUCUAGGUUCUCCCAUGAUAAUGUAGCCUCAUCUAUGGUUACCACAGACGCUGCUUCUCCAACCACCUUUGUAAGGCAUUCCUUGGUCCACAAAGAUAUGGGUAGACCAUAACAUCUGACCCAUACCAAUCUGUGGUUCGCUACACAUGCUUCAGACCAUGGUUCUACGUCCUUGAACACACUUACAAACCAGUCUUUGUUUAGCUUAAUAAUGUCUUCCAUAUGAUCCCCUUCCUUAGGUGUUAGGAGUACCAUGUUAUCUCCCAUAAAUCUAACUUUAACCAUACUCAUCCCCCUUUGAUAAGUUCUUCACAUAGUAAAUCAAAGUUCAUGUCUUCGGACAUCCAUCCAACUGCACUGUUAGCCAUCCAAGGAAGAACUUGUGACUUAGUUUCAAAGACAAGACCUUUCCACUUCUCUUGUGAGGUAUUUCUAACUACAUAAGCAUAAGAGUGACUCACGUUAUGUGCCCUUUUGACAUCCUUUCCUUUUUUUUUUUCUCUCCAUACCUCCUUACUUUUUGGCUUCACAGGUUCAUGAGUGAAAUGAUUUUUGGCCUGUAUGGGUAAAUCAGACUCACCACCUAAUUGUGCAGAUACAACUCUCUUGUAUUUAGGUAUGUUCACAUAUAACUUCAUGUUGCCAAUGUAGAUUUGAUCCAACUGCUUCUCUAGACAAAACACAUUUUCCACAUCAAAUAACCUCACAAAACCAAAUCUUCUUCCCCAUCUAUUAAGACGUUUUGAGAUGAAUACCUCUUUCACCCUAGCCCAUUUCUGAAAGAUCUUUAGCAUGUCAUAUUCGCCAAAGCCACCUGGAAAAUUUGAAAAGAAGAACGUAAAGUAAUUAUUCACCGAAAAAAAAUUUCUAUGCUCCUCAGUUUUCCGUCGGUGGCCUUCUCUCUCCCUCCUCCAACGUUCCUCCCUAGUCCUCCGCCAGCGCUCCUCCUUCAUGACCGUGUUUUAAUCAGUCACAUUUUAUAUGAAUAUCCAUUGAAAUGAUUCAACAAGUACAAGACAUAUGACAUAUACUUAUGUUAUAAUGUAUUUAUUUAGAUAUUUGGUAUGCAGGAUGACUUUAAUGGGUACAUAAGGUGACUGUUAAACUUUCCAUUUGUAACUGUCAUUUUGAGGUUCGACAAAGAGCAAAUGGGUCAAGGAAGAAAUACAUGUUUAUUGGAAAGUACUGUAACUUGUACAAAAUAAUGUGAUUUUACUUUUAAAUUAUUUUAAAUUAUAGAAUAAAUCAUUUUGCAAUGGAGAAGUUUGAGGGUUGAAGGUAAUAUGUGUGAUUUAUAAUCAUGAAUUUUUUUUAUGAAAACAAAAUUUGUAGAUAUUUUAUCUACGGACAUACAUCCUUAAAUAAUAUUAAUAAUAAAAUAUUACCCACCGAUAUAGAUCUGUAUGUAAAUUACUUAUAUCUUUAUAUUUGUAGAUAAAUUUAUCUAAAUAUUUAUAUAUGUAGAUAUCACUUACUAUUAUAUCUGUAUAUAGUAUUAAUAAUAUUAAUAUUAAUUAUGAUAAUAAUAAUAUUAUAAUUAUUAAUAUUAUUAUGAAUACUAUUUCUAUUAUUAUUAUUUAUUAUUAUAAAUAAUAUUAAUAAAAAUAAAAAAUAAAAAAUAAAACAAAAAUAUUUUAUCAUUAUUAUUAUUAUUUUUAAUAAUUUUUUUGAUAAUAAUAAUAAUAUUAUUAUUACUAUUAUUUUAUUAUUAUUAUAUAUUUUAUUUUGCAGGCCAGCAAACCAACCUGUCCCGCCCCGCUGUUGGCCUUCGCGAGUUGCGGUUAUGCGGGAUGAGUCUAAGCGGGUCAGCGAGCUAGAUUAGUGAACCCGCCCUACCCUUUUUAGUAGCGGGCCGCAGGUCGGUCCUCAUGGUCCACUCUACAUUGCCACCUCUAGCUUGUACCCAUAUUGGCAUAAAAUACGCUCUAACAAAUGGCAAUGUAUACACGUACCUAGAUGAGCAUAUCAAAAGAACAUGAAUAUCAACUCGAAUGAACUACUAAGAUGAUGGUCAUCGUAAGGAUUCCAAAUUAUCCUUGCAUGGGUCAGACCAUCCAACUGCAUAUACAUAAUGCUAACAUUGUGUAGUAAGCGGAUUGGGGAGGCCUUCGUUUACCAUUGGGACGCGUGUUCUCACUUUAAUCAGUUUUACCUUGAUUGAACUUCUCAGAAGACUAAGAAAUAUUGAAGGUGUUUGUGGAUUGCUAUGAUUGGGGAAAUUUAGAAACAAAGGAACCUCGUUAUCUUUAAGAAUGGUAGAGUGGAUUGUCUGGAGAUCUUCACCUUGGCCCAACUCAAGGUGUGGUCUUGGCUCACGAGUAGAGUAAACAAUGUUUCAUUUACGUAUGCUUAAUGGUGUCUGGACCCUUUGUUCUAUUUGAAGUCAAUUAAAAAGUAAAUGUGGAGUUGGGGUCUUUGUGAGUUUUGGUAUGUGUUGCAGGUUUGUCAGGUGGUUCCGGGGUUUUGAAGCUUAUUGAUUUAUUUCUUCUUAUUGUUUUACUUUUCCCCUUUUGGAUGGAAGAACUUGAUAGGAUCUUGGUAGGUUUUUUGGUUGGAGCUCUUGACCUACUAGGGUAAUGAGCCUUUAAAAUGGACGUUGUCGGGCAGUGCUAGUGGGGGGAAUCUUGUGGGGGCCGGUAGGUUAGCUUAGUUAACUUUGAUAUAUCUUGUUUUUAUGGUUUGGGUUCUACUAACGUUGGUCUUUGGCCAACAAAGGGGUUUAUUCUUGGUUGUAGGUUGUAAGUUGGAAUCUGGUGUUUUAUAGGUAAGCUUAGUUUUUUGCUUUAUCUCUGGUGGUGUGUUUUGAUCAGGGUUUAUGGAAAUCGGACAUAUCGGCAUGAAGGUAAAGGUACUCUAGGCUUUGAAGAAGAGUGGUUCUUUUAGCAUGAUGUUGUGAGUUUGGCUGUGGGUAAGGGAUUUGAGUUGUAUUAGUUUUUUGAUUUGUAACUAUGUUUGUAGAAUUUUGGUUGUAGUAGGAUUUGUUUUGUGUGUAUUGUUUGGACUAAAGACUGGUUGUAUGAACCUGGAUAGGGGAGUAAGGGCUAACUUGCGUGGUUUGCCACUCCUUUCUUUUGAGGUUGGGUUUGGAGGUCUGUAGAGCCUGAAUGGUCAGGUUUUGUGCAUGUUGGAUUUGGCUAUAUAAUGUAUAAGGGUUGAGACACCUGUGAAGUAUCUCCUUUUAUUAUAUUUAUUUUUUUGCUGAGAAAAAAUAAACAUUGUGUAUAUAUCGCCUAGUGACAUAUUUUCUUGUUCAUGAGUCAACCCCUAAUAAAGUGAGAUUCAUAUAUUUCACUCCUAUCCUUAAAAAGUGCUCGUGUAUCAAUGCCUAUUACAAUUUCAACAAAAAAAAAUUGUUCAUAUAUUCAUAUGAAAAUAAAUCUACCUUAUACAAAUUAUAUAUAUUAUCUACCUGUAAAAUCGUAAUAUAACUGUCCAAUUAUUUUUUUUUGAACAAACACAUAUUCCUUAACUAGUCCUACAUCUGAGUCACAUGUAUUAUUUCCUCAAGUCUUUAUACAUUUAUUAUACUAAUAAAAAAUGAAUUUACUCAAUUUACCUAUUUAUAACAAUAGAAUAAAAAAAUUUACAUAUUUUUACCAAAUAUUAACUAUAAUUAGAAAAUAAUAUUAUUAAAAUAAUAAAUAAAAAUUAAAGUGUUAAUAUAAUUAAGUAAUAAUAAAUAAAUUAAGUAGUCAAACUGUGGAUACAUUGAAAAAUGUUAUAAUAUUAAAAAACUGAAAAUGUCAAUCUAUAUAAUUAAAAAUAAUAAAUAAUUAAUAAAAAUGAUAAAAAAUUAUUAUUAAUGGUUUACAAGUAAAACCACCCACCAUAUUCAUUAAUUUAACUUGCAACUGCAUACCAUGUUUAAAAAAUCUACAUCAUUGAUUAGAUACAGAGCAAACUAACAGUGUCGAUUACUACCAUCGCUAACUCGUUUUGAGAAUCUAUACUGCGGAACGGAUUUAUUUUUUGCAAUAGGGUCCAAGAUCCCAACCUUCUUUUACCAGUCAAUAAUAUUUGUUUUAGGCAGAAAAUUAUUUUAUAAUUGAAAUUUGUUCUUAAUUAGAAGUAUUUUGCUAUGCUACCUUUUUUUGUGUAAUGUUAUUUAUAUAUUGUGUAUCAUCGUUUAUUAAUCAGUGAAAAUCAUUCAAAUUUAUUUUAUAUAUUACUUUUCAAAAUUUCUAGAGUAAUAAUUAACAAAGACUUAUUAAUUGACAUUAAAAAUCAGUUAUUUAAAACCACGAACACUUUUCACUUUCUAAAAUUAAUAUAUCUAAGAUAGUUUUUAUUUAAAGAAUUUGACGGUGACAAUAAUGAUACUUGAAUGUUAUUUAAUCGUGUUAUUUUAUAACAUAUUUUAUUUAAUAUAGUAUUAUUCAAAAGAUAAUUAUAUCAUAUAUUUUUAAUAAAUAUUAUAUUUAUCCCAUUUGAUAACAUAUAUAGUUCAUUAUAUUUUCUUCUUUCUUAACAAAAUAAUUAAGCAUAAAGUAUUUUCUCUUUUCAAAAGUAUCUUUUUAUAAUACAUAUUAUGAUUGUUUUGAAUAUAUAACUUUUUCUUUUUUUUAAUAAAAAUACUAUUAUUUAUAAAAUUUAAGAAAAAUUAAGAAUUUUGGGGUUGCCAUGACAUCUUUCCUAUCGAAGAGACUCUUUUACUAGCUGCCUUCCCUAGUUGUCAUUUGUUAUAACUAAUCAUAUUUUUCUUUACUAUUACGAAUAAUUUAACUCUUUUUUCUGGGUACUUUAGGGGUAUCAAAGUGAAGAAAUGAAUAUCUUUGCCAAAAUGGGCUUGCAUAUUUAGAUAUAAUAUUAUAUUGUCAAGUAUAUUUGUGCAUAUAUGUUAUAAAAUCCUACUGUCAAAAUUUGAUACCUGGGCCAACUCCAAUGCAUUACUUGUUACUUUUUGUUUUUGUAAAAGGGAAAAACAUGCUUACAUCAAUUCACGUGCAAAUGGACAAGCAAAUAGAUAACUUUGAUAUGCAAGUCAGAGCCUUUUGUUCAUGAAUGAUUGAGUUAAUCACAAUGGGGACAGACAAAACUAUUCCUAUAUACUUUCAAUAAUUCACUGCAUAUCAUAAAAUAAUAGAUUGCAAGCUCGUUUUUUCCUUUCAAAACCAACACUUUUAAUAAUUAAAAUGUUAACAAAAAUAUUUUUUUUUUCUAAAUCAAAUGAACAAACUUAAUCAGCUUAUACCGAAAAACUAAAUAGAACAUAUACAGAUAUUGCAUGGAACUGAUUUUAGAGGCAGUGUCAUUGUAGCAGCUGCCUCAGCCACUGCCUAGAGCAUUGCUGCACCAGUGUUGAUACUGCCCUUCAUAUACUGCACUUUUUUUUAUGGCAUUCUACGGCUCUGGUAAGGAUCAGAGACCACAACAUUCAUCAAGUAGCUUUACAACUUUCAUCUUCUCAAAUUUUCCAGAUAAUUAUGGGGAAUACGAUAGGAUCAAGAUCUUCCGGUGAUGGACUAGGGUAAAGGAAGUGUUCAACAGGUGGGGGGAGAAGAUUUGGGUUUUUGAGGCUCUUUGAUGUGGAAAACACAAGUACGCUGGAGAGGGAGCUGGACCAAGUUCGCGUAGGCAAUAUGAAACUCUAUGUCAAUAUUCCGCGUUAUAGAAGAGCAGAGUUGGAGCAACCGGUGAGUCACACAAAAUCUGCGGUGGAACAACCAUACCGUAAGUUCAAUGAAGCUAGGAAACGCUACAAACAAGAACCAAGGGAGAAAAACAACAAAGAGGUAUGAAGGGUUAAGAAAGGGAAGGAGAAGAAUGAAUGGAGAGUGAUCAAAGAAAAGCAAUCCUACGCGGGUGCAGUGAAAAAAUCUUCAAAAGGAGUAUGGAAGGUUCCUAUUAUUGAAACCAAGCAACAAGUCCUACCUUGGAUGUCUAAUAGUGCAAUGAGGCAUAUAUUAACAAAUUUAAGCUAUAAUCAGUUGUGUGAAGAAUUCAUCAUGGGGGGAUGAAUAUGGUUAAAGUGAGGUACUUGGGUGAUAAUCUGACUGUGUUAACUCCUAGAGAAGGGGAACAGAUGGAAGAUCUUAUCAUGUUUAACAAAGAAUGGUUUGAAAAUGUUUUUGAGGUUAUUGAGCCAUGGUGAGAUUCACACGUAGCAGGCCAUAAAAUUGUUUGGGUUAGAUGCUAUGGGCUCCCUAUAUCUCUGUGGAACAAAUAUUACUUCUCUAAAGUGGUAGGUGAGGUAGUUUCCUUAGUGUUUAUUGAUAAGGCAACAAAAUCAUGGGAUAACCUUGAGUAUGCAAGACUCCAACUGCGUCUCCUUAAGUCGUGCUCUAUCAGCUUAGCUAAGGGGAUGAAGAUCAAUGGCCAUGUAUAUAACAUUUGCAUUGAAGAGGAGCACCCUAAUUUUGUUGAAGGUAAAUGUAAGUGCACGUUUAAUCACUAUGCUUCAUUAGGUAGUAUAACGUUAUCAGAGUCCUUUGUGGAGGAAACCUAGUUUUCGGAAAAGAAUGUUGAUGAAGAUGUCAGGAAAGGGGGAGGGGAGUUGCGGUGGCCAGAGGACUCGAUGAGAGGUGGGAAUGUCAACAUCCCGCAUAAGACAAACUUGUUGUAUGUUGAGGAAUUGUGUGUGCAUGAUAAAAAUGGGCAGGAGAAAGGUGGUAGUUCUUACACAAAUAAGGUAAAGGGGAAGCAGACAAAAUGUGUAGGGGACUCAACUUUAUGUGUCCUAUAUGGUCAAUGUUGCAUGCAAAAGCAACUUUGUCCAAGUAGCCUUGACCAAUCUUCUUGUAGUUGUGGAGGCCUUUAACAGUAGCAAGUCCAAUAAGAAUGUGGCCCAAAGGCUGCGUAGAGGCCUAUUCGGGGAGAGGUGUAGAGGCCCAAUUUUGGGACGACGACCCAUGUUAUGUAGAGGGUGGGCACGUAGAAUCAAUGGUUGGUCUAGUACGUGAGGAGGGCGUAUGGGCCAUUGGGAGCGAAACCGUGACAACCACUUUGAACGACAGUGAGAAAGGGAGUUCGUUCGUGGAAGCUAGCGACGAUAGUGAGAAUGGAGAAAAUCUGUUCAUGGAAAACAGUAGUGCUAUAGAGAGGGGAGAAAAUAUGUUUGUGGAAACCAGUAGCGCUAUCGAGAAUGGAGAAACACAUUACACACCCAUCAAUAGUAGCGCGUGCUCCGCCCAGGUGGGCAACUCGCACAUAGAGGAAGGUCCCCGAACCAGUCUCAUUAACAAAGGCAUCAGGGACGAAGUAGGUAUUCAGAUUCAGAGCAUUGAUGACCACGAAAAACAAUCCUUAGUGUUCGAUGAUGAAGAAGAUGAUAAGGGGGAUAAUUUUGUUACCCCGCCACGACACCGACGUCAGAAGGGUUGUGGGAGUUGGGAGAAUCAAGCAGGAUGCCUCGGGGGAAGUCUAGAAUUGGAGCGGGAAGUCUUUAUGUAGGGAUUUUCUCAGAUUCAAGGGUUAGUACAAAUUCUAACACCUUAUCUGGCGACAAUAUUGUUAAUUGUAACAGUAGAUUUCAGAUUUUUGGAAAUAUUGAUGAACCUAUAUAUCAAUUUUUGGGAGGUAGGAAAACAGUUAGGGGUCUCAUGUUGUGGGUAUGAGGAUGAUGUGGUCAAGGAAAUAGAAAGAAGGGAAGCAAGAGAUUUGGAGGUUAUGAAAAAGUACGAGGAGAGAAAUAAGGGGAGUUUCUUAUGAUUAUUGUGAAUCUGAAUAUAAGAGGUCUUGGGGAGGGAGGGUACUAAGGCUAAAUAUAUGAAAAAUAUUAUAGCCAACGAGAGUGCGAAUGUGUUGUGCUUACAAGAAACAAAAACAGUUGCGUUCUCAGAAGCUAGGUGUUUUUUGCUAUUGAGGAUAAUAAUGUGGGAUGGUUACAUAAUGAAGGUAUAAGUGGUGAUGGGAGUUUGCUAAUUACGUGGCAUAAAGAAGCGUUUCGUUGUGAUAGUCAUGUGGAGGUAGGGGCUUCAUUUAUAUUUUUGGUAAGCAUAUCAUAUCUAAAAUAAAAUGUGUGGGGAUCAAUGUGUAUGCAACGUGCAAUCUGAAUGACAAAGUGACCUUAUGGGAGGAAUUGACAACCAUUAAAAAUGCAAAUAAGAACUUGGCAUGGUGUCUUUGUGGCGAUUUUAAUGCUGUAAGAUGUGAAAAUGAAAGGAAAGCUAAAAGUGAAAGGGGCAACCAAAACAAUGAGAUCACUGGCUUUAACCAUUUUAUCGAAAGGAAUUUCCUGGUGGAAUUGCCAAUUGUGGGUAAGAAGUAUACUUGGUACAAGGAAAAUGGUACAACAAAAAGCAGACUAGAUAAAGUGCUUUUGUCUGACGUUUGGUUACGGAAAUGGCCAAUGGACAAACAAUAUGUACAACCAAGAGAGGUGUUAGAUCACUGUGCCAUAGUGGUGAAAUGUUUGGCCAAAGAUUAGGGUCCUAGACCCUUCAGGACUAUUGAUUCUUAGCAGAUGGAGUAUGGAUUCAAGGAUAUGGUGAGAGAUAAGUGGAAUUCUUACUUUGUUCAAGGCUAAAGCAUAACGAAAUUCAAAGAUACAAGCUAAAAAGUAUUAAGGCAGACCUCAAAGAGUGGAAUAGAGAUGUGUUUGAGCAUCUGGACAUAGAGAAGAACAGAAUUAUGAAGGAAAUUGAGGUUUUAGAUAUCCAAGAUGACGUCUUCGACCUCGAAGGCCACGCAAGGUUGAAGAGAAUGGACCUUACAGGUCAAUUGAGAGUGAUCAAUAAAAAGAUGAAGUCUCUCUUUAGGCAGAAAGCUAGAACUAACUGGUUUGUGCAUGGAGACUCUAAUUCUAAAUUCUACCACUCCGUAAUUAGAUGGAGAAGACUUAGAAAUGAGGUAAAAGGUGUCCUUGUGGGGAUCAAUGGUGUGAGCAACCUGAGGUUGUUCGAAGGGAAGCAAAAACUAUGUUUGAGGAUAGAUUUGUGGCUACACAUGAUUUUGGGGUUUAGGGUUUAACAAAGACAAUCAAGAAAAAGGCACACAAAAAGAAUCUAAGAUACUUACUAAACUUUUAACAAUGAAACUUUCUUUAGAAAUUGUUAAAGCAAAAGGAUAAAAAUUCCACAAUGUUAAAAUCAAUUUGUCAAUCAAAAUGGACCCACUAUUUUGAAAUGUUGCUAUUUUGAAAAGGUUGGAACCAAUAGACUUGCACAACUUCUCUUAUUUUUUUUUUAUACUAUUAUGGAAAUGAAAUGUCCAUAGUUUUGAUCAUGCAUAUUUUCAUAGACCUCCAAAUAUCACAAAAAGUUUGGGAUUCAAAUUAAUUGAUGACUUGAAAUCUUUUGUUUGGAACUUAAAUCUACUUCUACUAAAACAAACUUCCAAUUACUUUUAAACUUUCACAAUUAAAAGCAAAGUAAGUAGAAUCAAAAUAUAAGGACUCUUAGAACACUAAAGAACAUAUGACUCAAGACAAAAGAGGCAAGAACAAUAAAAGACAUAAAGGAACAUUCAAAAUGAGAACAAAGCCAUUGAAUAACAAUAAUGCCAAAUUGAAAAAAAGGAAAGUAAAGGACUGAAAUUAUAUGUGCUUGAAUGUAAAGACAAGAAAUUAAAGGUGUUUGAAUGUAAAGAUAAGAAAUUAAAGGUGUAAGAAAAGUAAAGUGCCAAAUCAAUUCAAAGCAAAAUAAGCUCAAGAACCUAAGCUCUGAUAACCACAUGAUGUGAGUUGAUUUUUAGAUGGUUCCAUUUUAUGGUGACACUUUUGCUUAAAGUUGGGAUUUUAGCAAUUUAUGGUGAAACCUAAGGAAGAUUCCCACUGAACACGAACUUAACCAAAUAGUUAAGUAAGUGUGAAGGUUCACUUCACAAAGGCAAAGAUGAAAAAUCAAUAUAAAAUGAUGCAAUGUGGAAUGGAAAUGGCAAUAAGGUAAGUAUCAAUGGUGGUCAUGGCCGAACCAAAUGAUGAACCAUUAGCAUAUAACAAAAGCAAAACAAAGUGUAAGAGUCCAAGAUAAAGACAUAUAUGAAAUGGAAAUGAAUUGAAAAGAGUGGAAGAAGAGUAGCUUAUGGAGUGAAUGCGAGAGUGGUUCACGUCACUUGGGGUGUGGUAGCCACCAAGAUGAGUGAAGAGCCGCCACUUGAGAGUCUCACACUACUAAAGAUAAGACCUAAUGCUAAGAGGAAACAGGCUUCAGUAACACCUCACACAAAUUGUGCAGAGUAACUUUUCUAUUUAAAUUCAACAUUAAAAAACAAGGAGUAAGGCACCCUAUUUAUAGGAAUGGGUGCAUUGGUGGACAAGAAGGGCAAGGGUAGGGUGGUAAAUGUGUGAGGGGGUUGCCUUUAGGGUUUGACUAAUUCAAAACUGCACCCUAGUCUUGUUCUUCUAGAAACUAGGUCAAAUUUCCUUCCUAAAACACUAGAAACAAGCUAAAAUGAUAACUACACCCCCUAUUAUGCUAUAGGCACCUAUUCUAGCCUAUCUUGCUAUUUUGGACCCCAAAAUGAGCCCAAAUUACUUACAUAACUUUUCUCUUGUGGAAAGGCCAAAAGGAAGAACUUCUGAUAUUCUGGUUUAUAGCUUGUUCUUCUUCUGCUGAUGCUUUCUCGAGGUUUGGUGGACCCGACUUUGUAUACUGAGAUGAUUGACCUUUUUGUGAAUUGUUUGUUGUGUCCUUAGUCCUCUACUGAUUGUUGUGGUUUGUAUCACUAGACAAUGGUGGUUCAUUGUCCAACACUUUUUUUUAAUCAACAAUAAAAAUUUAAUAAAUAGGAGUACUCAGGGUACUCCAACCCAUGUACAAAAAUCCCCUAUGCUAGAGAAAUGAGGUUUCCAGAUAAAAAUGACCAAAACAUAGCCAUAUUCUACCCAUAUAAUUCUAAUAAGCUUAAACAUCUUUAAAAACAUCUAGAUAUCAAUACAUAAAUCAAGCUAUCUAUAAAAAAAUCCAGCAAUCCAAUUCCAGAAUAUAAGCAUGUCAACUCUAAAGAAAGACUUUGCCUCCUUGCUAUCUACUGCAGUUUCCCAAGCACCCAUUAUGACUAUAGUUGUAGCCCAAGGAAAUUCCUCUCAUGCAAACCGAGAAUCCAGCAAAAAAAGUAGAGAAAAUGUGUUAAUCAUCAAUGUAGUGAUUUUAAACUUUCAUAUACAUUAAUACACCAAUCAGAAUAAGAGAAAUUUGACUUUGGAAAUUUAUAACUUACCCAUGCCCACGCUUUUACUUGGACCAAAGCAAUUUUUUUAACAGGAUCCACCAUUGCAUUAUUGAAAAUUAUCCUAUUCCUAUGGUUCCAAAUUCCUCAAAUAAUGGAAAUCCACAUACAUUUCCAGACACAAUUUCCCAAGUAGUUUAAACCUGUAAAACCUAUUUGUUUGUUGAGUAACAUUAUCACAAUGUACAAAAGUUCUACCAGCCCAAGCAUCAGAGAUAUACCACACUUUAGAAGUCACUUUAUAUGUGAAAAAAAGAUGAUUUACUGUUUCAAGCUCAGACCACACAUGGCACACAUCCCCUCUCCAACCUUAAUUCCUCUAUGUAUUAAAUUAUCAUAUGUUGCAAUUUUACCAAUUAAAACACGUCAGGCAAAGUAAUGUGCUUAUGGAAGAGCUUUUAGGCUAAAAAAAGAAUCAAAAUUGAAUGCAGAGAAUGAAUGUGGCUGCAAAAUAUUUUGGUGGCAAAGAAUUUUAUAAGCUGAGUUAACAAUAAAAGAAUUUGAGGUAUCACCUACCCACAUCCACUCAUCAUUUUUACAAGCAUAUAUUUUAAUAGUCUUCAAUUCAUCCAUAAAUUCAUUUAUAAUUUCAGUUUCCCAUUAAAACUACUAUUUUCUCCAUUCUAUUUGCCAUACCCAUUGGUUUUCAUGUCAUACCCUACAGAACCUUCUUUAAGCACUGAGUUUUAAAAAAUUAUGGGAUUUCUAUUUUUCAGAGUAUCAUUUCCUAUCCAAUAAUCUGUCCAAAACAGAAUAUUACUCCCUGCACCGACCUUCCACCUUCUCUGGUUAUCAAACUAACAAUUUGAGUUUCCUCCACACACCUUCUUGAUAUCUCUCCACCACCAAGAUUUAGUAUUUGACACAACACUAUCAUCCAACCCUCUCCAAGAACCAUAUUAAGAUUACGGGUGGCAAAGCGGCCCGCCCGCCCCGCAUAGGCCCGCGGGCUGGCUUGCAUUUUUGUUUUGAAACAUGGAGGAGAAGUGGAGGCAGCAACGGUGCGGUAGCAGUGAUGUGCGGCAACAACAGUGUGCAGUAGCGCGACAGUUGCAGGCGAAGCCGCACGGAGUUGCAAGUGGAGCGAGCGAAGUCGCAGGUGGAGCGAGCGACGACACUGCAACAGAGAGUGCGUCGUGUACAUUUUUUGGAACAACAUAGUUGCGUUGUGUUUUGAGUGAAAACCUAAUUUUCUUUCACUCAAAGUUGCAUCUCUUCCACGGACCAUUGCUGCCAAGUCAAUUUUUUUUUUUUUUAGCGAGCUAGCAGGCCAGCCCGCCUUGCCCCACUGCUGGCCCAUCCCACUUUGCCACCCCUAAUUUAGAUUCCAAUACCGGUUUCCAAAGUCCUUAUUUUUCACAACCAAGUCCCCAUUAUCAUUUCCCAAGAAGAACAAUAUUAAACAAAUUUACAUCCUUAAUUCAUAGUCCUCCUUCCGAUUUGGAUUGACAUAGGAAGUCCCACUUGAUCCAGGCUAUCUUCCUUUUAUCACUUCCCCAUCCCCAUAAAAAAUCCCUUUGUAAUCUUGUGAUUAAUUUCGCAACUGCCAUAGACAUUUUGAACAGAGAUAAGUAAUAUAAAGCGACAGCUGAAACAUGACAGAUUUUAUCAAAAUAACUCUUCCAGCAAAAUAUAAAUGUUUUCCAUUCCAACUAGAAAGCUUAGUUUUAAUAUUUGAUUUCAUGUCUUUCCAAAACACUUUUUUUCCUAUUAUUAUCUCCCACAAGACAUUGUCCUGCACUUGAUAAUUCAAGUGACGUUAAUCUGCCGACGAGGGAGCAUUAGAGUUGGAAUCCAGCGGCUUGCUCUCUGUGCAAUUGGGGGUAUGGCAGCAAGCCUACUGUGGAGGGGUUGCAAGCCAAGUUUAGACUAUGGUAUCUUACAGUAUAGGAGAUUGGGAACAACCAUUUUUUCUAUCUUCUAUUGUCUAUUUAUAUCAAUACUACAAUCCCUCUUUAGGAAUUUGUUUGACUUGGCUCUAUGCAGGUUAAUUGCUAGGAAAUUUAGUGGCUGCUGGUGUUUUUUUUUAUGCAGAACCAUCUGUUUGCUAAGUUGUGUUAAGCUUUUCUAAGUCGUGGUAGAUUUGUUCCCGUAUGGCGUGGAAGAAUGUUUUUUGGUUUGACUAGGAGAAAACGUUUUGGUUAUCGUAUAAGAGUUUGAACACUAUAAAGUCUUCAUUAAAUUCAAUUAUUCUUUGUUAUAAAAAAAUUGGAAAAACUAAAUCUGUAUGGAAAAUCUCAUAUUCCACAUACUGAUAUAUAUAAUGAAUGUGCAGUCAUCAUAUUUUUGAAAAUUUAGAAUAUAUAUAUAUAUUUUAGAAUAUUUGAAAGAUGUUUUAAUUCAUAUAUAAAAUAUUAAAAAUUUAAAUAAAUCUUAUUUAAAAAAUUACGAGAAAAUAUAUAUAUUUAAAAUUUGUCCAACAUAACAUAUAAAAUAACUAUCAACACAACACUGCAUCCUAAAAGGCGGAAGCCUUAAAUUUUCAUUUCUCGCAAAAAUCUGUAUUUGCACCUGAAACAAAGCCCCACCCCACGACACUAACGCAUUAGUAACAUGUAUAUGAUCAUUUGAAAUGUUAUUGAUCGAAACUUAACAUUAUAAAAACAUUUGAUUUUGAUAACGUGUGGAAUAAGGAUUUGUUCGAAAUUGGAGUUUGGUUUGGUGUGAAAGAAUUAUCCGAAAAAAGAAAAAUGGAGAGGAAAGUGGUAGAGUAUAUAAAGACGAAAUGAGAUGAGUGGGUUUGAUAGUCACGGACGAGUGAUUCCCAUAUGAGGAGGCAAAUGACAUGAGGUGCGACAAAAGUGUCACAAUAUCUUUACUAAUAAUUACAAUAACGAACAUUUCAGAGACUAUACUGUCUCUGUUGGAUGCAGAGCACUGUGCCCAGCCAUCACACCUUUAUUCAUUUACUUAACGCCAUAAAGAUCUUUCACCAAAUGAAUAAUGACGUGAGACCUAACCCUAAUUGUGAGCAACCACGGCACUGCCCUACAGUGCAUGCUAACAUGCAAACAGUUCAGAGAGAGAAGAACUCCAUAAGAAUGUGAGUUUCAAAAGUGGUCAACAUGCUCAGGAAUAUUUCAAAAUGAUAGGCUAAAAAGGCUCAUCUUUAAGCAAAGGAAUGUCAACAAAAGCACAUCAAAAUGUGAACGGCGUUUAUCAAGUUUUGUAGUGCUGCUAAUGGAGUUAGUAACCAUUUUUUUUAAUUAAUAAUAUUGUUAAAUAAGUAUUUUCAUAUAUAUAUAUAUAUAUAUAUAUAUAAAAUUAUGAUAUAAGCACAUGUCUCUUUUUUAAAAAAAGAAAGUAGUUUGGUGUCUGAUAAAUAAUAAUUUAAAUGUAAAAAAUCGUAAUUAUAUUUUUGAUUUGUAUGCUGUCAUGCACGUUUAUACUAGUCUUGGUAUCUUAUGUGAUGGUCUUUUAAUAAGAUUUUUCUUGAAAAGUAAGGAAUUAGGUGUAUGAAAUACAAAAUUGGUACUGCUUUAUUUUUAAGUUUUGUGUAGCUGUAGUGGGUAUGGUAUAUGUUAAUUAUAGCUAGAAAACAAUGGUGAAAUUGAAAGGAAACCAGGGUUUGUCGUUUCCAUUGGAAUAUAUCGAAUACGUGAAGAUGCUGAGCAAGAGAGUCAGCAUCCUCGUCUGUUGAGCAUUGUGCACAACCUGGCUGGCUUUACCGUAUUUACUUUUCUAUCUCAAACUAAACUUUAUCAUGAAAUUCAAUGAAACAGUAAAUUUAUUCAGAUGUCUAUCACUGUCAAAGUGAGAGAGUACUGAAGAGAAAGGGAUCGAUGUACUCAAGAAAAACAUAAGAGUUGCAAUUUAUAGAAUCGAAAUCAUAGUUAAUAGACCAAUUAGACUUCUUUUCAUAACAAAAUAACCUUAAAGCAGUUUUAAAUAAGUUCAUACAUACGUAACAAGCUAUUUCUUUAAUGUUUUUUCAUUGUGCCUAAUCUUUUCCUUAUUACAACGUUGACUUUCCAAAAUGAUGAUUUGGCUAUGCUGCUGCCUUCAGGUCAGGGUCCAAAGAACUCAGUACCCAUGACACGUUGUUGUUGUUGUAGUUGUUCUCUCUGUGAAAAUCCACCAUUCAUAUUUCUAACCAUUCCUCCAACACCCAAAAAGUCUAAGGUCAACUUAUCAGAACCUCCAAAGUUUACAUUAUUAAGAUUCUGGGGCAACUUAUGGUUGGACUCGUCGACGUUGUGAAACCCAGAAAGGUUGUUUUCAUUCCCUUGCAUGUUCCUAAACAAGGACGUGUUUCCAUUAGCAAUAGAGUUCAUCAACCCUUGAAGAUUGUGGUGGUGGUGGUGACCAUUUUCAGCUUUGGAACCAUUGCUAGACAUUCCUCUAAGUAAAGAAGAACCGCUGGUGGUUGUGGUUGAACCCAUUUGAGAGGCUUUUUGAAGCAACACAGUGGCAGACAUAUGAGGGGAUGAUACGUUUUCUAUUGAAUCACCAAAGAGCGAAGAAAAACUUGAACCCACAUGAUCACUUACUGCAGGGUUGUUAUUAACAAAGAGUGGUGGUGGUGUUGUUCCUUGGUCACUACCACUUAUGUUGUUGAAUUGAUCAGGGAUAAUGGUGCUAGUGCUAUUGCUACUUGGGAAGAAGCUGAGGUUGAAGAGAUUGGAAUUAGGAGCAGCAACUGAUGAAGAAUUGGAGUUGUUAGUGUUGCCAUCAAGAGCAGUGAGCUGCAUUAGGCCAUGUAGUUGCUUGUUUGAGAAUAGUUGUCCUUGUUGUGAUUGGUGUUCUUCAAAUAAUGUUUGAUUGGUGUUGUUAUUCAUGAAGAAAGCUGAGGAAGGCAUUGAUUGUGGUGAGUGUCCAAAUGAAGACUGAUUUAGAGGUGGAAUCAAGUGCUCAAACUUAAGAGCUGCACCAAUGUUAGUGACUGUUUGGUUCUGAUUUUGAACUUGGGAAAGUUGGGUACCCACUUGGGAUAGGGUUAAACUAGUGUGGUUUGUGCCAAACAAAUGAGUUCCCAAAGGAUUUGAGCUACUGGGGUAUCUUGCACUCUCAUGUGCUAAUGCAUCACAGAACGCCCUAUGAGUGAUGAAACUGUCACGCCUGCAUCAAAAAUAUAAUAAAAGGUAUACAUAAAUUGACCACAUCUUCCAUUAUAGAAACUGACAAAGGUGAAUUUAUUACGUCGAGUAUUAAGUAAGACUUAAAAUUAUAUUAUUAGUAUGCUCCAGUAAGAAUACAAUAUAAUAAUCAAAAUGUUCCUAAUCAGCUCAAUAACAACUAUUAUGCCACCACAUCAACACAUAAAAUUCUUGAACCAAACCAUAUAUUAAUUUUAAUAACGUAUAUAGGUAACCUAACACCGUCCAACCUAAAGAAUUUUGGAACUGUAGAAGUUCAAGAUAUAUAUAUAUAUAUAUAUAUAUAUAUCAAUUAUUUAACCAACCAAUUCCAAAGGUAUAGUCAAAUAUAAAAUAAAAAAUAAAAUAGGAAAUGUUUUUUUCUUUGUAAUUGGAACUGCAAUUUUGAAAAUAAAACUCUAAUGGAAACAGAGGGCCCAGGGGAUCAUUAUACCAAAAGAUGAUACACACAAGAAAUCCAAAUCUAACUGCCACUUUAAGGUCUCUCAUUAAUCAAUAAAAGAGAAUUAUUUUCAGCUUCUGAUGAAAGUCAAUUAUCAUAAGACCAAAGAUGGGGCCAGUUCAAUAAAUGCAAACAACCUCAAUACUUGUCUAUUUUCUACGACGAGAAUUCAUUUCAAAGCAAUGGUAGAAUACAAAAAUUGCUGAUAUAGAAGUGGCGAAUUAAUGGUGAGAAUUUGUUUAGCAAUGAAUAAAGAAAUAAUGGGAAGUGGUGACAAUUAUGCAGCUCGGACCCAUUGCAAGAAGAUAAGUGUAUUUAUAUAUGAACCGAGCCAAGCCGAAAGAGAACAAAAGCCAGCAUCUCCAACUCAUGUGAGAACAAACCCAGUAUCACUAUGCCUGUUGCCUUUGCAGAGUUGCUUAACUGCACGUGAAUGGGAAUAAGGGUGGGGGCACAGUUCCCGAGGACCAAAGUUGAACUUGCUUGUUUUUCUUCCCAAAGCAUGUCAAUUUUGGUACCCCAUUUCAACAGUCUACUCACGUGCGAGCAGUCUCCUGCCAUGCCUCCACUAACACCCAAGGAAAUGAAUGGAGAAAGCUCUAGUUCACAUUUAACUUCUGUUUCGACUAUUUACUCAAUUUUUUCAAACUAGCGACACCUUCUUAGGUUGCGUUUAGAAAUGCUUAUAAUAAAAAUGCAUCAAGCUUAAAAGCUUUUACUAGUGUGAAAAAUUCAAAACCCACCAAAGAGUAUGAGAAACCCUAAUUUUUCAUAAACUGGAUGGUGUGUGUGUAUUAUAUACACAUUUGAAGAAUGUAUAAAGUGCAGUGGAAACUAAGAUAAAAUGGGUUGUUACCUAGAGAAGAGAGUGCCACAGUCACAUCUGUACUCUCUAGUGCCACAAGUCUUUGAAUGUGCUUUCCAAUCAGAUUGAACAGCAUAUUUCUUUGAGCACUUUUCACACUUCCACUUCUUCUCACCAUGCUUGCGAGAGUAGUGCUUCUUGAUUCCAGUGAGGUCUCCCAAAGCCCUUGAAGGAUCAUGAUGGACGCAGGUGGGCUCGGGACAAAGAUAAACCUUUCUUUUUUGCUCUUUUGUACUCUUCUGCUUUAGCUUCCAAGGAAGGUUGUGUCCUCUUCUGUGAAGCUGUAGGUUUUGCUCCCUUUGAAAUCCUUUAUUGCACACCUCACAUAUAAACCUGUUUGUUGCCAUUAGGGUCUUGGGAGAUAGUUUUAUCACCUCCGCGUCUGGAUCUUUUACCCCCACAAAAAUGACAAACAACAAAUUAUUAAAAAACUCUCAUGCUUCAAUCACUUGCUCAAAUUGAAUACGCACAAGAAACAGAAGAAUAAUCUUUCUUUUUUGACCUUGUUUUAGAACCACGUAGGAAUUUCAAUAGUAAUGAUAAAAAAAAAAAUACAAAUUUACGAAGAUUAUUAAAAAAUUUAAACCAGAAGUUUCAUGCUUUUGAGAUUCUUAGAGAAAAGCAAUCCAACCAUGAACUGAAUGUCUCUACAGUAAAUUAAAGAAGUCAAUAGCCCUAAAUCACGAAUAGGGUUUCGUCGUGUUUGUUAUUGAGAAAAUGAAAGAAGUGAAACAAAAUUGCAAAGGAUGUGUAUAUGUGUGUGGUUUAAGCAAUCAAAUUUAACUAAGCUACUUGCUUGGGGUUCCAGGUUGAUUCCUCCGUUUCUUUUGAGGAACUGUGAUUGGAGCAACUGUGGAGGGUUGAUGGUGUGUUGUAAUCUGAGGGCUUUCUUCUCUGGUUCCCGAGAAUGGAGUGGAUGAGGAAGCUGCCGCCAUAACUGUUGUGCAAAUCUGGAACUAAUAUCUGAACCAAAAGUAAACACCUAUCAAAUAUCCGAAUAUCCUUCUGCUGAAAGGAAAAAAAAAACCUCAAUUGCAUGUUUUCUUGUCCCUUGGAAAGAAUAAACAAAAAGAAAGGGAAAAAGAAACUACAACAGAAUGAAGAAAAAAAAAAAGACCUGAAGUAUGUUUGAUUUUUUCCCUGCUUUCUUUGUCUGUCAGGAAAAAAGAAAAAAAAUAGAAACUGAGAGAUUAAAUCACAAAAGAUACCGAGAGGAAAGUAUCUUAGGAGACAGAAGCAAACAGGAGACGAAGAGAAGAAAACAAUUCACUCUGAAUACCUACUUAUCUUCUGGCUAUUGUUUUCUUAUCAUAAAAUUUAGCUACUACUACUCCCUCUUGUUAUUUCUCAAUCAUUUGGUGUCAUCUAGACAGAAGAAUAAUAAUAAUAGUUAAUAACAUGCUAGCUUGUCCUCCAAAAGGCAUAUAUAAAUCAACUCAUAUGUAUCUCUUUUGAUCUCUGUGUCUCUUCUUUUCCCCUCUUCUCCUCAUGGUUGUGCAUUUUGUAAGGAGGAAUAAUUAAGGGUGGUAAAGUUGCCAGCGAAGUGAGGGAGGUAAUUUAUGUCACUGUUAUACUGCUCCUGCACGGGCUACUGUGUCCUUAGCAGAUGAUGGUCUGGGGCCACCGACCCUUUUAGCUCUCACACUCACCUUAUCUCUCCUUCUCUUCUUUCCUAUCUUUUUACCAACAACCAUACAACUUUCCUCAUUUUUUACCCAACAACUAAUUGGUUUAUGCAUUAUUAUAACUAUUGUUAAUUAUUACCAUGUCUACAAUACUUUCUUUAGCAUGGUUUUUAUCAGAUACAACUUUCCACUGUUAUUCGAUUAUAUAUGGUUACUAUAAACUGACAUAAAAGUUCUAGGAUUAGUUGGUAAAAAAUAUUUUCAAUCAAAAUCUUGUGGUAAUUUACGGACAAAGUACUUCGAACUCUUACACCUAAUCGUGAUAACUCAGUAGACAGAGAGCUUGCUGGUAGAUGAUGACAAUAUUUGGGUUUAUCUCCUAUUUUAUAAUAAUUGUAAUGGUAGUUUGAACUGUUUGCUUGAAGAUAUUUGCUUGGAAAAAUGUUAUCAGUUUGUAACCACCUUGGUAAACAGGGAUAAACAGGGAUUUUUGAAAUGAUGUUUGCAUUGACAAUGCUAGUUUGAAACAUUCUUUACCAUGCUUGUACCAAGUCUAUGUUGAAAUAGCUGCUUCGCGUGUAGAUGAAAGGGGAGUAUGGUAUGAUAAGAUUUGGUUCUGGAGAUCAAUUUGUCGGUCAAAAUCUAAUGCUAUAUCAGAAAAGCCAAGGCAAAUUUGUACGUAACACCGAAGUGAAAGCUACAAAGAUCAAACCAAAAUAUUUGCAUCUCUGCACUUAUUGGAAGAUGCUAAAGUUGCGUCCACAAAAAAAAUCUACGAACCCUUUGAAGCUCAAUUUUAUAAAAUGUGGUCGACACUACCUCUACAAUAUCACAAGGACGAGAAAGUUAGGAGGGUUGAGGGGAAAGUAUAAAAUUUUGAGUUCAUUUAAUAAAUAUAUAACAUUACUUUUUAUGUUAAAUAUUCAUAAUUGUGUGUUUUUUUAAAUGAUAAAAAAUAAUAUAAAAAAUAGGAUUGUAUGAUAAUUAUUAUCUAUAGAGUAAUUUAAAUAUAAUUAUUUUAGAUCUCUUUUUUAAUUUUAGUUGUGUUAAUUUAAUUUACUUUUGAAUAAAAUUGUUCUUUAUGUUUAAAUUUAGUUUUAAUUUCAUGUUAUAUACUUUAUCUUUGUUUUUUUUAGUUCUGAAGGAUAAAAGUUGUAAGAAGACGUUAUCGUGAACAUUAAAAUAGAGAAAAUGAAGUUUCCUAUUUAGAUUUACGCGAUAAAAAUUUACAAGAAGAAUUUGUAUAUAUGCACUUUAAGCCACCCAUUUUGUAGGCAUUUUAAGCCAAACUUGAGAGGAAAGUAGUGCUUAAAUAGUUUAUUUUGGACAGCCUAAGAAGUUCCAUCUGAAGUCCACUAUGGCAGAGGUUGAGUGUCUAUAAAAGACAAAAAAAAAAAUAGAACCUUAUUUUCAUACAAUUAUACACUUUGAGACAUACUUGGAGACACGGAAAAAUUCUUCUCCUUUUGAAGGAUUAUUUCUCUAUAAUUGAUAAGAAGUAGCUAAGUUUUCUUUCUUUCGUAGAAGCUUAAUACACUUGAAUCUACAUGUAAUUGUUAUGUUUUUUUUUUUAUUUAUGUAGUAGCUAUUAUUUUUUUUAAUGUUCAGUUAUAACUGAUAAAUUGGAGUAAUGGUAUGAUUUUAUAAUUUUUAUUAUAAUUCAAAAUAAGUCAAAGAUUGGUAGUAGAAUCAAUUAUAUAAUCAUUAAAUAAAAACUAAUUUUAUAGUAAAAAAAUAAUUAGUUACUAUAUUGACUAUAUUAAAUAUUAUUUUAGAUAUUAAAAAAAUUAUUAGUAUCUAAAAUAAUUUCUAUUAUUAAUAAAAUUUAAAACUAGUUUCAAAUUGAUAUAUUUUCCGACCUCAAGUCUAUUAAGAUAAUAUCACUAGGAUCAAUCACCACAUCUGAGAUAUUUGGAGCUCGAAGUUCCAUUACAUUUUUUUUUUCUUAAAAGGCCUCUAAGAAGUUUAAAGCACUAGUGCAAAUAAUGCUUUUUACAACAACAUAUUUGGUUGGUUAAGAAAGAACCGGUGUAAAGAAAAAUACGGUGACAUUUUUGUAAAUAUUGUGCAUAUAUUACAUUGGUUGUUACUCCUAAUCGGUGUAAUAUGUGUUGAUUUUGAGUAAUUUUUUUUAAAAAAAUUACAUUUUUACAGUGAUAUAUUAAAUCGGUUGUUAGGUCCAAGCGGUUAAUAUGUAUUGAUUUUGAGUGUAAAAAAAUUAUUUAAAAAUUACAUUUUUCUAGUGACGUAUUACAUUGGUUGUGAGGUCCAACCGAUGUAAUAUGUAUUGAUUUCGAGUGUAAAAAAAUGUUUAAAAAACUACAUUUUUUGGGAUGAUAUAUUACAUCGGUUGGGAGAUCCAAUCGAUGUAAUAUGUAUUGAUUUGUCUUUUAAAUGUAUAAAUUUUAAAAGGUAAGUGAUGUUAGGGGCAUUUAUUACAUCGAUUAUUACUAAGAAUUGAUGUAAUAUAUGCAUUCACCUUGUUUUUUUUUUUUCUUGUGCACUCACUGCUCAUUUUGCAUUUGAAGUUUGUUUGCUGAGUGUAAGACGUCUGAGCCACUGCCACCAUUGCCUUUGUUACCACUAUUUUUGUUGCCAUCGCUCACGCUCCCUUUGUUGUCACUACCAUCGCUUCUCGUUGUCGCCACUGUUUGUUGUGCCCUUGUUCACUGCCACCGAGAGUUGUGUUUCAUUGUCGCCAUUGUUCGCGCUAAUGUCGUCAUUCGCUGCUACCAUCAUUCAUCUAGCCACCAUUGAAAACUUCUGGUCCUGCCACGUUAAGGUAAGUUUUAAAUAUUUUUAUUAUAAUUUAUUAUUUUAUUUAGAAAUAAAAUUUUAAUUUAUAUAGAAAAUUAGUUUUAAUAUAAUAUAUUAUGUUUGGAAUAUAAUGUAUAUUUUUUUAAAAAAAAUUAAUUUGUUGUUGUUAAUUGUUAUAUGUUGAACGCUUUGAUAUUAGGUUUGGCGGUGUUCGACCCUCGACAAUGUGUACUGUGUUUUAUAAUACAUCGACUAAAAAGUGGGAGAGAUUGAUGGAUAAACCAAGUGCUUUUAUUACAUAGUAAUGGAUUGAAGUUGGAUAAGUGAUUCUACACUUUUCUCAAUGAAAUGUAGAAGCUAUAAAUGGAAGAUAUUAUUAUCCAUGUGUUAAUUGUUUGAAUGGGAGACUAUAAGAAAUUAAGUUGAUACGAGAACAUGUUGUGAUGGUUUCUUGAAGAGUUAUAUAACGUGGAUAUGACAUAGUGAAUUUGUAGACAUAACACCUCUAUUUAAAUUUCAAUAUUCUAAUAUACACUUUGAAGAUUGCAUGGAGGACAUGAUUCAUGAUAUUUGAGAAGAUAGUUUCCGACAAGCACAUAUGUGUGAUUCAUUGAAAGAUGAUUCAAAACCAUCUCUAUAUCUUGGUUGUUCAAGUUUCACAUGUUUGUCUUAUUAAAAUUAAUUAAUAUUAAGGCAAAAAAUAGGAAGAUCGAUAAAAGCUUCACUAAAUUAUUGGAGUUGUUGCAUGAAAUGCUUCCAAAAGGUAAUACAUUGUCGACCCUUCAUAUGAGGUGAAGAAGAUAUUGGGUCUGAUGGGUACGGAGUACUAGAAAAUACAUGCAUGUCCUAAUGAUUGUAUUUUGUAUAGAAAAAAAGGUUUGAAUCAUUGUAUAGGUGUCCAAGAUGCAGGAUAUCAUGAUACAAAGUGAAAAAUGAUGACAGUGAGGAAGAUGAUGUGAAAAAGGGUCCUCCUAAGAAAGUAUUAUGAUAUCUUCCAAUCAUACCGCGAUUUAAACGUUUGUUUCCCAAUAUUAAUGAUGCAAAAAAUGUCACAUGGCAUGCAAAUGGAAAAAAAAUGUUAGGUUGUUACGACAUGUUGUCGAUUCACCACAAUGUUAAUAAAAUCAAGAGUAGAAUGGAAAUAUGUAAAAUGAGAUUUUUGUUGUUGGCGGGUAGAGUAUGCUUACUAAAGUCUAUCAUUUCCUCUUGACCCCAAUACUACAUAUCUUUUUAUAAAAUUCCAGCUAUUAUAAGACAUCAAAUUAGAACUAUCCAGAGGAAUUUUUUAUAGAGGAGGUGAAACAAAGGAAGAAAUAUAUCAUGGUUAAAAUGGGUGGACAUAUGUAAACCAAAGGAAGAGGGAGGCUUGGAACUUAAAGAUGUCAAAUUGUUUAAUGUAACAUUGUUGUCUAAGUGAAAAUGGAGGUUAGGGUAACCACAAAGGACUGUGGAAGAAUAUUUUAGAAUUUAAGUAUGGCUUUUGAGGAACUUGAAUGUUAAUGGAAACGUCACUUACGAGUUAUGGCGGUGGAGGGACCUAAGAGGGGUUUGUGGGAAGGCAUAAAAGGGGAAUGGUUUGUGAUAAAUGCUAGAUUUCAGUAAUACUUUAUAUUAAAAUACAUGCACUUGUGGAUAUUAAUUGAUAAAAUAACCACAAUAUAACCCCUAAUUCAUGAACUAAAACCUUUUUACAUAUUUUCUAAUUAUAAUUUGAAUAAGAACGAUUUAUUCCCAAAUUUGUGUUAAUUUCAGGAUUUUAGGAAAGAAUGAAGAUGAAAGGGUAAAAGGAUAAUAUACAAAGCUAAAAAGGGAAAGUUGGAAUGCACCAACACUUACCCUAGAGGAGACAGCUGUCAAGGAGAAACAUCCUGAAUCUUCUUUUCAUGCUUUCCAUGCUUGUAAUAGCCAACAUGAGUGGCUAAUUCUACCAUUUGGGAAUGAGAGUAAUCUGUUCAAACUCUUAUGUAUUGAGGUGAUAUUUAAAUAUAAUAUUUUUUCUUGAUUGAUGAUUGCUAUUGUCAUUUUAUUUGUAAUGCUUGUUUACCAUUAUCAAGAUCCUUAGAUUUAACUGGAAAGUACUUCUAAGUUUCUAACCUAAAUGAUAAUGUUAGGAAUAGAUUUGAAAUGUUAAUUGCUAUCAACAUCUAAUCGUAAUGAUAAGAAGUUUUUAUAAAUAUGCGAGAAAUCAAUAUUUAGGAGACUUUCUUAAUAAUUUUAUGUGAGUAAUCGAUAUAAAUUACUUUUAUAUGGACAUCAACAUCAAUCAAAAGAUAAAAUAUUACUAUGCUAAUCAAAAUACAAAAGAGUAAGAAAGACGAACCUCAAUCCCAAUAUUCCCAAUUGAACUAACAAUCUCUUUGACUUCUUUCUUUUUAAUUAUUGCAAUCACAACAAACUCCCAAAAAACUUUAUUAUUUUGUUUUCUAUUUAGUGAAUCUUAUACUUGAUUAUUCAAUGUUCCUUGUGGGUUUGAUAUCCUUCCUUAAGGAUCCUCAUGAUAUCCUUCCUUAAGGAUCCUCAUGAUAUCCUUCCUUAAGGAUCCUCAUGAUAUUCUUCCUUAGCAAUUACAACAUGGUGUACUUUUCGUAAAAUAGUCAUGAAGUUUUUGGCACCAUUAUUGGAAAACAAUUGAUUUUUUAGUAUAAAUUCCUAAAUAUUAUGAAUAUUUUAAUUGCUUUUAACUUUUGUUUUAUUUCAUUUUAAUUGCAGAUUUGUGUUAUUUUAUUUCAGAUUUAUUUUAUUUUACUUUAUUUGUUUUCAAUUUUAAAUUUUUUUAAAAAAAUUACUGUUAGUGAAUCCUUGUGUUAACCCUUGAUUUAGUUGUCUUAUAUGAUAUUAAAAGGUCAAAUUCCCAAAGACCAAAUAUUAUUUGAAUCAAAGAUUGAAAAGGCAGCUAAAAGAAACAAAAAGACAAAGACAAAAGAAAGACAAGGAGACGCUAGAGAGGAAUCCUCAACCACUUCUUCCCUUCCCAUUAAUAUUUUUCAGGAGGAGAAUAAUAUGGCAUAAGAGCAGACACCACCUCCUAGGAGAACCCUUGGAGAUUAUGCCAUGGAGCAAGGGCCAAGGCAUUUUUCUAGUAUUGCAAUACCUGCUACCUCUAGGGUCUUGGAGAUGAAACCCGUUUUCCUUAGUCUUAUCAGUACCCAUCCGUUUACAACAAUGGAUCAUGAGGAUCCAUAUACACAUUUGUCUACAUUUUAUGAACUGGUGGGAAAAAUGGGCUUCCAAUCAGGUGAUCUAGAAAAUGUUUAUAUGCGUUUAUUUUCUUUUUCAUUAGCAGAAAAGGCAAAAUAAUGGCUCAAAUCACAUCCAAAUCAAAGUCUCAAUAGUUGGGAGGAUGUAGAGGAAAAAUUUCUACAAAUGUUUUUUCCAUUAUCUUGCUACAUCAAAGCAAAGUCUGAAAUAUCUAUGUUCAGACAAGGAGCAGAUAAAGCAUUUUGUGAGACAUGGGAAAGAUUUAAAAUGACGCUGAGAAAAUGUCCAAAUAAUGGGUUUGAAGACAUUGCUCAAUUGAGCAUUUUUCACAAUGGUCUCAUAUAUGAUAACAAGAUGCUUCUAAAUGUUGUAGUUGGUGGUACAAUGAUGGCAAUUGAUGCAAAAGAAGCAACAAAGAUUAUUGAGGCAAUGACAUCCACAAAUUAUCAAGCCCAAAAUGAUAGUAAAAAUGAGCCAAAGAAGGGGAUGAUGGAUCAUAAUUCUUCAAACACAUUUUUGGCUGAAAACUAAAUUCAAACACAAUAGUUGGAAGCAUUAACUGCACAAAUGGCUAAAUUGCCACAACAAUUACAAGUUGUGCAAGCUUAUUAGAGUCAGAGUCAAUCAAUAAAGUGUGAUUUUUGUAGAGGUGAUCAUUCCAAUGGGCAUUGUACUUAUCAGAAUAAUUCAUCUGAAGAAGAAGCUCAUUAUAUGGAAAUAAAGGAGGUAAGGUGGGUUCUCCAACAAAAAUACUCAAGGUUGGAGAAGCAAGCAAAAUCAAAGUUUUAAGCAACAACAACAACCAUUAUAUCCUUCAUCCCAAGAGAGAGAAAAGCAAACUGGAGGAUACCUUGGAGAAACUGCCCAAUAAAGGAGCUUUGACAUUGUUGUUCAAAGUUUGAAGACACAAAUGGGACAAAUUGCACAACAGUUGAAGAAAUCCAAGGAGCAAUGUAAGUCAGUCACUACUAGAAGUGGAAUAGUUAUAGGAAAGGGGAUUGGUGAUAAUUUGAUUGUUGAAAUAAAGGAAAUAAUGGAAUUAGUGGCUCGUUUUUAUGUUGGAUGUUCAAACUUGUUGUAGGAUCACACCUCUCAAGUUGUUUUGCUAAGGGGAUAAAGGGAUUUUUAGGGCUAAAUAUGUUUACAGAGAGAGGAUCUCUUGGUUCAAUAUUGUAAAGAAUUCCCGCUACAUCAAAUAUUGGAGACAAGAUUUGUUGAUCCAUUGUAAGGAAUUUUUGUUACCUCAAACUUUGGAGACAACAUUUGGGUUGAUUGAUUAUUUGUAUAAAUAUAUAAGGACAAACUAGCUAACAUAAGGAAUAGUCAUAUGUUAUUUAUUUGUAUAUAAGGUUGAAGCAUUCCUAUGUACUCAUUCUUUGUAUAUAGAUUUUCUUUAUUGAUAAAAAAGUACUGAAUUGUACUUAUUCUUUUUAAAAUACCACUAGCAUACUAUAAAAUAAAAUUUUUUUAAAAGUAAAUGAUACUUAAAUAUUUCAUCUAAUAGAAAAAACUAUUAUUAUCUCUAAAAAAAGACUUUAAAAAAAAUAUCCAUAGCUAAUUUCUUUUAUAAAAUUUAUAAGAAAUAACUUCUCCAAAUAUUUUGUUUUUAAAUUUUGUAAAGUUUCACAAAAUAUUUAUAGAACAAGUUGCACAACAUAUAAAAAUAAUAAUAAAUUUAUAAAAAAACAACAUUUAAGUAUUUUAUCUUUAUAUAUAAAUAUCAAAUAAAAAUAAUUACUUAUAAUGUAUAUUAAUUCAUUAGAAAAAAAGUAAACCCCCAUAUUAGCAUAUACAUCUAUUCUAACAUUAUCAUAACACCUUCACUACAUGAAAAAAUGGUUUUAACGGGAGUUUAUUUUUACAUUAUUAAAGGUUAAAACCUCUCUUAAGUCAUUUACUCAGGGCAGUUUCUCCUGCUAAAUCAUCUUUGAGAAAUGUGUUUCCUGGGGUUUUUUUAAACAUUUGGAAAAAUCUUUCAAAAUCCCCGUUAAAUAUCAUGGGCUUAAGAACCUCCGUAAAAUUUCAUAACCUCCGUAAAAUACUAUGCGUUUUAGGACCUCCGUAAAAUACCACGAGUUUCAAAACCUCUGUAAAAUAUCAUAGGUUUUAGAACCGCUGCAAAAUACCAUAGUUUUCAAAACCUCCAUAAAUUUUAGAACCUCUGUAAAAUAACAUAGGCUUCAGAAUCUCCGUAAAAUAUCAUUUGUUUUAAAAUCUCUGUAAAAUAUCAUAGGUUUCAGAAUCUUCAUAAAAUACCAUAGGUUUCAGAACUCCGUAAAAUACCAUAGACUUCAGAACCUUCGUAAAAUACCAUAGGUUUCAGAACCUUCGUAAAAUAUCAUAUUUAGAUGUUGUUCUCUAAUUAAAUUAAAAAUUUAUUUUUAAAAAAAUAUAUUUAAAAAAAUGCAAAUUAAAAAAAAUAAAAAAUGUAAAAAAGAACUAAAUGAAAAAAAAAAUACUUCUUAAAAUGAAAGAUAAGUGAAAGAGGAGCAAGUCCAAUAUAGAAAGAUUCAAGCCUAGAAAGCGGGUAGGGAUAGAAAUGAUAUGGAAAUAGGUGAUGUUUACAAGGAAAAAGAAGAAGCAAAAAGCACCUAUGAUUGAAUCAAAUUUUCAAAUCUUCAAUGUUUAUCAUGCAUUGCAGCAGUAACUCACCUCCCAUCCUGGUUGAGGGCUAAGAAUUGGUGUUGCCAUGAAACUUGCCUUACCCUUUAUAUAAGUUUCUCUCCAUAUUAGCAAAAAGAUUAUAAAAGAAAGAAAAACAAGCAAUCAGAAUUGACAUGCCAAUAUGUUUCUUAAAUAGCAAAAGAUAUAAACUUUUUCAUCCAAACCUGACUUUUAAGAAAAACUAGUGCAACUGUAUUCCUUAAAAAAAAAUAUGAAAAUGGAUAAAUAGAUUUUGAAUAGACAACUGUACCUAAAUGAUUAUUUUAUUUUUUAUGAAAAAAAUUGUCACUACAUCUUUGAUGGUUUCGAAGUCCUAGUUUGUUAAACGAUUUCAGUUUUUAGGACUUUACUUUUUUUUAAGUAAAGUUUCCAUGUAAGUGAGUUUUCUUUUAUGAUUUAUUAAUUUAGGUUUUUCAAUUUAAAUUUUAUAAUAAUAAAGUUGUGUCUUGUUAUAUUUUAAAAAAUAAUAUUUAAGUGCUUAUAUUUUAAAGAUAUAGUUAAGUUUGUUUUAGAUGAUAUAGUCUUUCAAUAAAAAAAUUUCAAUUAGGUAAAAUUGGGUUUCAUUCAUUGAAAAAUGAAAUAAAAGUUGAAAUUAAUUAUGAUAAAUUUGUAGAAAUUUUUAUUUAAUAUAGACAAACUAAUUUUUAAAACGAAAGGAUAUAUUGUUCUAAGAAUCCAUUUUCUAGUUUGUCUUGUGAACUUUUUUUGUAGUUCUUAUAUUUGAUAGUUUCCUGAAAGGCUGAAGCAAAUGUUGAAAUCUCUCUUUCCCUAUUAUCACCAUAUCCAUAAUAGUAAUUGGCAUUGUAUGUAUGCAUGACUCAACAUUUAUCUAUUGGGGGAAGAUAUCACACAUGAUGAUGAUGGGUAUAUGUGAAUUGACAUUGGAAUGAAAAUGAAAGAUGAAGGGUCACCUGUGUGGACCAUGUUGUGUGUGGCUUUGGUUUGGAUAGAAGCUUAAAAUUGAGACACAUGAUGUGGGGUAAGUACCUAGAUAAGGACCAUAUGUCUUAAGAGAGAAAAUAGAUGAACAAUUAUAAAUCUUUUGGGAAUUUGGCUUUACCUACAUUUCAAGUACUUUGUUUCCAUUACUUGGACUCAAAGUUAUUCUUUCACGCUCUUUAGUAAAUAAGGUACACUUAAGUGGAACAAAUUAAUAGAAAAUGAUAUGUUAAAAAAUAAACUUUAAUGCAUGUAUAGUAUAAAAUAUUCUUAUAUUUAGUCAAUGUGGGAUAUUCAACAUUUUACAUAACAACCUGAUAGUGAGUGACCUGAUAAGUCCAACAAACUCUUACUAGGAUGACUUUAAUACCAAAUUAAAAGUAACUUUAAGUCUAACUUAACUUUACAAAACUGGUUAAUAAGUAAGCAUUCAAUUAUAUAUUAUAAAAUUCUAUUAUCUCUAGUCAAUUUCAUAUCUCCAUCAAAUAUUCAAUUCAAAGACUAUAUAUGAAUUGUUUGCAUCAACUUAGGUUUCUCUAGUAAAUUGCCAAGUUUUGUUCCCGAGAAAGCUGGCCAACAACGUUGGUUUGGUCGGUUUAAACCUUAAACCUUUUCGGGGUAAGGUUCUUGCCUCCUUGGUAUGAAGGGAUAUUUAGCUUGCCUCUUCGGUGGAUUUGAGGUCAGAGGAUAUUAGUCAUUUCAUCUCCGAAAGUGCUGUUAGAAAUUGUAAUAUGAUGUUUUGGAUGAAAAAUGAUGUGUCUGAAGCUCGAAAAUUUAGAAUUGUGGGAAGGAGAUGGGAUUUUUGUUUAAUGGUGAGGAGGAUGUAGUUUUUUGUUCUUUACAAGCCUUGGAAGCUCUGGAUUCUAACAGAAGGAAGAAGGCCAACGUUUUUGAUGAUGAAAAUAAUUAGUCUGAAUAUUAGGGGGCUAGGAGGAAGCGUUAAAAGAAGAUAUCUAAGAGAGUUAAUAAGCUUGGAACAAGUAGGCGUGGUUUGUCUACAAGAAACAACGUCUUUUGAGUUUGGUGAGGGGAAUUGUUUUCUAUUGUGGGGCUCUAACGACAUCGGUUAGGUUGAGAAUGGAGCGAGUAGUAACGCUGGUGGGAUUAUUACAAUAUGGAGAAAUAGUUGUUUUCAUUUGUUGAGGUACUCUAACGGGAACAAUUUUCUGUUAUUGAAGGGGUCUGGAAGGUUGGUGGUGGUGUACAGGUUACAAUUGUGAAUGUCUAUUGCUUGGGGUCGUUGAGGGAUAAGAAGAUAAUUUGGGAUGAGAUUUGUGAAGUAAGGACAAAUCAUUCGAAUAGGGUUUGGUGUGUAGUUGGGGACUUCAAUGCUAUAAGGAGGAAGGAGGAAAGAAAAAGUUUUGUUUUUGUGUCAUACUACAACAGAGAAAUUAAUGAGUUUAAUAAUUUUAUUGAAAGGUCAGAACUGUUGGAUAUCCCGAUGGUUGGCAGGAAAUUUACUUGGUAUAAACCAAAUGGAUUCGUGAAGAGCAGAAUCGAUAGGGUCUUGGUUUCCAAGGAUUGGUUGGAAACUUAGUGAAAUAGUAAAUAGUUUGUCUCUAGUAGAUCGGUGUCAUAUCAUUGAGCCCUAGUACUUAAAGACGUGUGUUCAGAUUGGGUUUCGAACCCGUUAAGAAGUCUGGACAUUUGGCAGAAGGAUGGCAGGUUCAUUGAUUUUGUGCGAGACAAAUGGACUAACUAUAUGACAUGUUUGGAAAAUGGUUGUUCAUUUUAAGGAAAAAUUGAAAAGAUUAAAGUAGGAUUUAAAAGUCUAGAAUAGAGAUAUCUUUGAGAAUGUAAAUAGCCUUGGGGAGGAUUUAAAAAAGAAGAUUCAAAUUUUGGACGAAAGGCGUUCUUAAUGAGGCAGAAGGAGAGGAAAUGAGGUUAUUGUUGGCAGAACAAAGCAAGAAUCUUUCAAGCAAGAAGCGAUCUAUUUUCUGAAAGCUCGUCACAAGUGACUCCAACAAGGUGACCUAAAUUCUAAAUACUUCCAAUCGGUCGUUACAUGGAGAAGGGUAAGAAAUAACUCUAAUGACAUGUUCAAUAACGGUUGUUGGUGUGACGACAAGGACGUGGUUAAGGAUAGAGUCAGAGAUUUUUUUAAGAAUAGACUCGAAGGAGUUAUUGGGCCUCAGGUUAGAUUGGACAACGUAUUUUUUAACUCUAUUUCUGAUUUAGAUUAUGAGACGUUGGUUGGUUCUUUCUCUAAAGAGGAAGUUAAGAAUGCAGUUAGUUGUUGUGACAGUUCGAAGAGUUCUGAUCCAGAUGGUUUUAAUUUUAGCUUCAUUAAACAUAACUGGGAUAUGAUAAAAAAGGACAUUCUCUUGGCAGUGAAGGAUUUUGUUGUCUCUGGUUCUUGGCCUAUGGAGUCUAAUGCUUCCUUUAUUUACUUGGUCCCCAAGUCGGAAAACCCACAAUUGUUAGGUGAUUUCAAACCCUUUUCUCUGGUCAGGUGCUUGUACAAGAUUAUCUCUAAAUUGCUUUCUCUUAGGUUGAAAAAGGUAUUACGAAAGGUCACUGAUUCCAGACAAUCGACUUUUCUUGAAGGAAGGGGUUUAAUGGAUAGUGUUCUUGUCGCCAAUGAGAUACUUGAGGAGAAUAAGAAGACCAAGAAGAGUUUCAUUUUUUUCAAGGAGGACUACGAGAAGGCCUAUGACUCUGAGAAGUGGGAUUUUAUGUACUACAUGUUAGGAAGGCUUGGUUUUUGCGACAAGUUGAUUUUAUGAAUUAAAUCUUGCCUUAAGUCUGCUUCGUUUUUUGUUCUUGUUAACGGAAGCCCGACUAAGGAAUUUUCUCCGAUUAAGGGGUUGAGACAAUGUAACCCCCUCGCUCCAUUUUUAUUUCUUAUUGUGGUUGAAGGUUUGGCAUGGGUCUCUAGGAAUGCUGAUGAGCUUGAUGCGGUAGAAAGUAUGGAGAUCGGGAGUAAGAAGGUUAAAGUUAAUAUGCUUCAAUAUGCAGACGAUACUCAGUUUUUCUGUCAUGAGAAUUCUAAAAGUAUUUUCAACAUUAAGGCAAUGUUAAAUUGUUUUAAGCUGGCCUCAAGUUUGAAGGUGAAUUUUUUGAAAAGCAGUAUUUGUGGGUUGAUUCGUUCACUAUCCGAGGUUUGGCGGCUAUCCUUAACUAUGAUGUUAUGAAAGUCCUUUUCAAAUAUCUAGGGUUGCCUAUUGGGGGGUGUCACAAGAGGGAAGUGUUUUGGGAUUGAAUGGUGGAUAAAAUCAAGUCCAGAUUGAGAAGAUGGAAAGGUAGAAAUUUAUCUAUGGCAAGGAUUUGCCUCAUCAAGUCAGUUCUUUCAUCUAUUCCAUUGUUCUAUAUGUCAAUGUUUUUUUAUGCUUAUAGUUUUGAUGAAAUAGAUUGUGAGUAUUCAGAGGAACUUCCUCUGGGUGGAGUUCUAAAGGGAGAAAGAUCGUUUGAGUUUCUUAGGAAAAGGUUUGUGAGUCUCGAGAUGGUGGCGGGCUUGGAGUAGAUAAUAUUAAGGAUUUUAACUUGGCUUUGUUGGGUAAAUGAAUUUGGAGGUUGGGGUUUAAUGGGGGGUGUUUGUGGAAGGAGGUUUUAAAGUCGAAAUAUGGAGGCUGGAGAAAGCUGAAGGAGAACAUGUUUAUCUAUAAUGCUUCCCUUUGGUGGAAAGAUUUGGAAGUUGAAGAACUGGGGUAAUAACUUCGAUGACUGCUUUAAAUGGGAAGUUGAUAAUGGGAAGAUUAUCAAGUUCUGGGAGGACCAGAGGGUAGGUAAUGAUAUCUUGAAGAAUAAGUUUCCAAGGCAUUUUUUCUCUUUGUGUUGAGAAACAUGUGUCGUUGGACAUUGUGGGUCUUGGGCAAACCGUGUCUAGGAGUGGUCUUUGGCGUAGAGAAGAAGUCUUUUUGAUUGGGAGAAGGACUAACUUAGUCAACUCCUCGAGGUAGUGCACGACUUGUGUCCUGUCUUGGAUAAAGUUGAUAGGUGGGUCUAGAAAGACGUUAAGUUUCAUGAGUUUUCAAUUAAUUCGACGUACAUGAUUCUUAGAGGUGGGUCUGAGGGGAUCUGGUCGAGGAUGUUUAAUUGCUUUUGGAGGAUUAAGGCUUGGCCUUUUGCUCAUGUUACCGCUUGGAGGGUGAUAAAAAAUAAGAUUGUCGUUAAGGUUAAUUUACUUAGACGUGAGAUUACGGUCGGAAGCGCUCCCUGUUGUUUUUGCAAGGUAAAAGGGGAAGAGUUAAAUCAUUUGGAUUGUGGUGGUUAGUGAGAUUUGGAGUCAUAUGAACAAGAUUUUAUUCAAAGGUGGAGUGUUGGACUACUCUGAGAUCUUUUCAUUGGCUCAAUUGAAAGUUUAGUCUUGGAUUACUUCUAAAUUGUCCUCUACUUGUUUCUCUUAUUCUGAUUGGUGUCUUGUUCAUCUGGUUUGUCUUCUUUCGCUUUAGCUUGUUUGCCGUUGUGGUUUUUGGCAUGGUUAGUUAUGAGUAGUCGGUUGGAAGAUAUUGUGUUGUAAGGUCGUCUCAUGUUUUUUGUAUAUGAGUUGGAUUACCCUGAAGUGAUUCUUAUGUAUAUAUUGUUUCUUGUUGAUAAAAAAAAAACUUUACUCUUUGUAUAUCCCUACUCAUAUUUUAGAACAAUUAAUAAAACACGCAUUAGGGGCUUGCUACAAAUUAAUGCAUGUUAAGAAAAGUAUGACCAAAAUUAUGUCUAAAAAUGUUACUAAGGAUUUUUUUUAAAACUGUAUUAACAAAAUAUCACUAAAAUACGCAUACAACCCUCUUAUAAUAACACUUGUUUUUUUGGUUGACAAAGUUUUAAGUAGUCCUUUUAUAAAUGCAGAGUAGAAUGAGACAGAAAUAAAUGGAUGGAUUCUAUUUUAUUUGUAUAUUAUUAAAAGACAUUAAAUAAAAAAGUGAUAUAUUUUAUUUUUUGUAAGAAAAGAGCCAAGAAACAAAGGAAAAUAUUCCCUUAGGUUUUCACUCGUCAAACCUUGCCUCAAACUCUAGUCAAAUGACAAUAACUUGAUAGAACAUGAAUUAGAAGAUGAUUAUUACCCUUCAGCUGACUCUUUAUAAUUCUUUUUCCCAGGUAUAUUUAUACAGUUUUAAUCUCUUAAAUGAGUCUGUUAAACUAAAUUAAUAUAUUUAUCAGUUUUUAUUAAUAAUAUUAAUUUUUCAUCCCAGGGAUUUUAACCUGCACUUCAUAAAUUUAAUUAUUCUAAAAAUAUUAUGAGUUUUAAUUUUGCAUUGUAAAAUUGAUUUUUUUUUCCAAAAUUAUAUAAUCUAAAAUGUCAAAUAUAUUUGUUGUAAGUUCUGAAAUACAAAUUUGUAUUUCAAGAUUGUAUAAAGUAAAAUACUAUAAUUAUCUGUCACAGUUUCCGUCUACUUCAUAUCAUUAACUACACAGGGAUGCAUACAUGUUAUCUCAUUUUAAUACUGUACAAGAGUGCAGAUUGAGAUCAGAGUAUGUGUGAAUGCAGAUUGAAAUCAUAGGAGUGCAGGUUGGAAUCAUAGAGGUGCAUGAAGAUAUCAGCAUAAGCCUUAUGUUACCUUGGUCUAAGCCCAUAAAAGUCCAUAGCUGAUUAUUGCAAUUAGGCACUAUCUUCCUGCACCUCCCUAAAUCUUUCAAUUUCAAAAUUACCCUUCGACAAAAGGUGCAGGAUUUUUUAUUUUUUUUUCAUCUUCAAAUUGUAUAAUCCGUAGAACUUCUGAAUUUUAAAAUUUGAAAUAUUCUAUUCUAAAUUUUAGAGUUCGAAAUAUAUUUUUAAACUCUAAGAAAUAUGUUUUAAAGAAUUCGAAAUACAAAAUUGUAUUUUAAAUUAUAUAAUUUAGAAGAUAUUUUGAACCCAGAAAAUAUAUUAUAUUUUUAAAAAUUCAUAAUACAAUUUUGUUUUCCAAUUUUACAGUUUGAAAUGUAUUUUCUGGAUUCAAAAAUAUCUUUUAAACUCUAAUAUUCAAAAUAUAAAAUUGUAUUUGAAAUUCUAGAGUUCAAAAGAUAUUUUCAAACCUAUAAAAUAAAUUUCAAAUUCUAAAAUUUACUAAAAUUUAUUCAAAAUAUAAUUCUAUAUUCCAGGUAUUUUAGAGUUCGGAGUUUUAAAAUCCAAAAAGAGGAAAGACGGGUGUCAAUUAAAAAGAUGAAAAAAGGAGGUAGAAGAAGAAAUUGCCUUUUGGAGUUAACAAAGAAACAAAUCCAUUAGAGAUGGAAAGGUAAACUAGGCCCACAUCAAUAUGGGCCCAAUUAAGUAUAUAUUGAGUAAGUAUUUAAAAACUUGAUUUUAUUUUUCUUUACUUUUACAAACCUAAUUUUAUUGAAAUUAAGUUGAUAACGAAAUAAAUUAUAUUUAAAAUAUCUCUUCUAAAAAUAAGUUUGUAAUAAAACAUAACAUAUAAUUCUCAUUAUGACGUAAAUCUUACUUUUGUUUUUAACUUUUAACCAAAAGCAAUUUAAAAAAAAAAAACUUAAUUCUACAAACUUCAAUCAUACAUACUUAAUUCUUUCAGUAAUUUUGUGUUUUAAAUUGAUUAUUACAUUAAAUAUUGAAUUAAUGCACUUUUUUAUGGUUAAAUUAUAUAAUAACUCCUUACAAUUUUAUUAAGAUUUUAAAAAAGCCUGUAUAAUUUUAAAAUUUUACUACAUUUUAAUUGCUUAAAUAUAAUGAAUGAUUAUAUUUAACAAUUAAUUUUUUGAUUAAGUUAUAAAUACCUAUUCAAAAGUUCGUGCCACAAAAAGACAUAUUUAAAAACCAACACAAAAUAUAAUUAUUCAUUUAAUAGGUAUCACACUAGAGCUUGUUCUCAUAUUAAAUUUUAGUUUUUAAAUAAAUUACCAGAGUUUAGUAAAAUUCAAUAAUCUCUAUUCAUAAAUUGAGUUUUAUUUACAAACAACAUAAGAAUUUCUUUUGUAAAUUUUUAAAUCAUAGUAAUUACUUAAAGUUUGGAAUAGCUACAUAACAUAAUUUAACCUAAUAUAUAAAAUAAUUGUAUAUAUAACUUUAAAAAUUGUGAAUCAUUAUUUAAUAUAAAAUAAUAAUGUUUUGAUAAUGUACAUAUAUAAGAAGAAAUAAUUUAGUCCAAUAAGAGUAACAUUUAGUAAAGUUAUUUCUUUCAAUCCCGUAUUAACAACAAAUCUUUUGGAAGUGUUUUUUUUUACCUUUUCUUUACUAAAAUUUGUUGAAAUUUAAAUUAUUCAUUUUAAUAAUAAAUACACAUAAUAUUCUAGAACAAUUGCUUUGUUUACAGCAAAAUAUUUAAUAAAUUAUAAAUUAAUGGGAAAAAGUCCUAACAUAGUUAUUUUUAUAUUUUAAACAUAUGCCUAUUUUUUCAUGUUCACACAAACUCAUGCAACAUCUAAUGUGUACUCUUUACUACAAUUCUUGUUUUUAUGCAUUAACAACAAACACUACAAAUAAAAAAUAAUGGUGAAAAUGUUAAUUUAUUAGGCUUGUUUUAAUAUUUGAAAAGUCAAUCUAUGUUCGUAACUUAUAUAUAUAUAAUGUAGUAUAUGUUUUUAUAAUAACUAUUUACAAAAUUGAUAUCUUCUUUUCUUUUAUAACUUUUUCCUCUAUUUCAACAGUAGUCUUUAAUAUUAUAAAUUUAUAAUAAAAUAAUUUUUAUUUAAUGUCAAAUCAAUUUUUAAAAUUAUAUUUUAAUGAAAAAACAAUGUAAUGAAACUUAACAAGGGUAAGUAAUUUUAAGAUAUUGUACAAACUAAAAUAAAUAUUUCUUCUUUUAAAAACUAAAUAGAUAAUAUUUUACAUAUUUAAGGAUUAAAUUGAAACUUUACUAAAAUAAAAAAUCCAAGUAAUAUUAUUGCAAGACCCGUAUGAAAACUCAAAGGAAUUACACAACCUUAGCAGUUCUUUAUACUAUAGUAACACUAGUUUCAGAACUUUCAUAGAAUAGCCCAAAAUUGCAAUGUAUUUCUGGUAUAGCAUAAUUGUCCCAGACACAACUUACACAUCUUCAUAAAAAUCACACUGUUCGUACCAAAAGUAAAGUAACCACAAAAGCUCUAUUAACUUCAUUGUUGUUUUUUUUAAAUAUCAUCGACCAUUUCAUUCAAAAUACUUGAAGAGAUUUUAGAUCUGUUCUUGAUUCAAAAUCAGAAUUUCUAAUUAGUACCAACAUUUAAUUUCAACCUUUAUUGCACAUGAUACUAAAAUGAAAUUCUAAUUUUGAUUAUAGAACAGUAUUAAAAACACUUAAAAGUAAUGUACCUAAAUUUUGUCCACUCUUAGAAGAAAGAAAAACCCAUGACCAUAUCUUGUUCUUGUGAAAAGUAACUGUCGUGCUUCCAAUUCUCGUACCAUGCUUCUCCAACCAUUGAAUCAUCAAGCCUCCAAGUCUCAUCUUCAAAAGUACGUUCUGGUAUUUCAACACAAGCAUACCCGUUGAAACGACAAUCAUCCUCGUACGACAUUAACAAGUCACUGAUAUCAAAGUCUUGAAAAACACCUGUUAAACAGUGGUUAUGGUGAUCUUGUGACAUGGAUGCAGAAGGGUUAUUAUGGUCCCUGGUCGUUGUGAUCAAAUUCAUUGUGCUGACUGAAUCAUUGCCUGGCAUCAUAACCUUGGUACACCUCAUUGAUUUUGGUGUAAUCAUCAUUGGGUGAGGGGGUUUUGUAGGAUCAAGAACAUCAUCCAAGAAAUUUUUGGAGCUUAAGUUGAUAGGAAUGUUGCUGUCAUGGCCAACAACAUGGUUUUGAUUGUACUUCUGCUCUACCUUCUUUCUCAAAUAAGUGUUCCAGUAGUUCUUAAUUUCAUUGUCUGUUCUCCCUGGUAAUCGUCCCGCAAUUAGAGACCAUCUAUUCACCAUAACAAUAUGAUAAAAUAUUAAUACAUUGACAAAAAAAAAUGGAGUAAAUGCAUGUAAAAUAUAAACAGAUGUACCUAUUCCCUAAGAGUUUGUGUAAUCUGAUAAUGAGAUCUUCUUCAUCAGAAGAAAUGUUUCCUCUCUUUAUAUCUGGGUUUAGAUAAUUCAGCCAUCGAAGUCUGCAACUCUUGCCACAUCUUUUCAAGCCUACAUAAAUACAAAUGAUCAAAUUUUGAAAGUAGAAUACUUUUGAAACUCUAUAUAUUUCUGCAUUGCAUAUAUAUACCUGCUCUUUUGGAAAGCUCUCUCCAUUUACCUUCUCCAUGGACUUGAACGUAGUUCAUAAGAAUUUUGUCUUCUUCAGCAGACCAAGGACCUCUGUUCAUAGCAUAUUCAUUCUCACAGUUGGCCUUUCUUUCCAUCUUCUCUCUUUCUCUCACUCACCCUCUUUCGCUCUAUUAUUGGAUUCUGAAAGGUGUUGUUAAUGCCCCUUAAAUACUUGCUCACUUUUCUUUUAAUUAUUUAAAUAAAUGCCAUGUAUAUGUGGUAGAUGAAUCAACCAAAUGAGGAUCACGACUAUAACAGUUCUUUUACCUCAUUUUUUCCAUUCAAAUGGGACCCCUAGUGGACUACGUAUAGUGCUCCUUAAAGGAGAAAAAAGUAUUUUGAAAAGUGAUUUAGAAUAAUGUAGCAAACAUAAAAAUUUCUAGUAUUAUAUAUCAAAUUAAGUUUACACUUUGUAACAUUUAUAUAAUUAUGAAGAGAACUUAAAGUAUGUUCUGAUAAUAUAAUAAGUGUUGGAGUGGUAGCAUUUCACUGAGAUAAAAGAGUCUGAUUAAAGAGAACAGUUAUUAUGACAAAAGGAUAUGGAGAAAAGGAUUGGGCAUCGACCCUCGAAGAUUGCAAACUAAGUGGCUGAAAUAUCAGAGCAUGUGCUCAAUUAUAUCAUAACACACACGGGUCCCUCCAAUCUCAGUUUUACUACUCCUCAAAAAUCAAUAAUAGAACUAAGAUAUUUGCUCUUCUCAAUGUUACUACAAAGAAUCAACGUAGCAUUGUGUUCUGUGUUAAUGGAAAGCAACUGAGUCUAAAGAAGAAAAUAAAGAGUGAGAAACUAGAUCGCUAGAAUGAUAGAGUCGUGUAAAGAAUAAAGAUUCCCUCUUUUUAUGAUAAAAAAGUAGAAAGGAAAGUUUGUUUUGUCAAGUAGUAUUUUUAGUUCUGUCUGCUUAUAUUAUAAAAGUUACUUUAUUCAAAUGAAAAUUUCUUAAACUUUCUUAUAAUAAAUAAAAAAAAAUAAGUAUUUUGUUUAUUUAUUUUUCAUUAUAUUCAAACAAUAAGACAAUAUUUAGUAACUCUUAUUUACUUUAUUUUUCUUUCCACAUCUAACUAACAUAAAGCUAUGGAAAAGAAGUAUAUGUAAAAUUGGCGUCAAGAAUAAUUAUUCUUAUAUAUAGCAAUCAAUAUGUAAGAUUUCCUUCCAGAAAAUAAAGGCCAACCUAAUGGUCCUCUUGGCUGUGAAAACGGCUGACUAUCUAAUUAAAAAUAAUUUUUUUACAUGUAAUAUUAACACAAUUGUGGCUCAUUCACUAUUAAAGGAUACACAUACCAGAGUUAUAGAAGGAUCCUAAUAUUAAUUGGGUGUCUUUUCUAAUUAUCAAUUUGUUUCUCUUUAUAGAGGAGAAUAAUUUAGUGUCUUUUAUAAUUAUCAGUUGUUUCUUCUCUUUAUAGAGGUGAAUACCUUUAUUUUGUCUUUGUGUGUUAUGAUUAUAGUAUUUAAUUAUUGAUUCUUUUCAUUAUUGUUAAAAUUUGUAUUGUGAAAGGCUGCAUGACUUUGAUGAUGGUUCUGAUUUUUAAAUUUGAAAUAAGGUGGAAAACCACGCUUUUUAUAGCAUGUAUCACUGGUAUGCACUGUCUUUCCACAAUAAUUGCAAAUUUUGGAAGUAUAUCUUCUUCCAUAGCUUCCUCUUCCAUAUCCACCACCCAUGCCAUAGAUUGUAGCAUUGUUAUUAUAACCUCAUUUGCUAGUAGCAAUUAUUGCCUUUGAUUGAUCACCAAAAACUUGCCUCUCUUGUUGUGUAAUGAGAGAGUAAACUCUAUUCAAGGAUGAAUUAUCUGAUAAACUAACAUGGUAAUGUGAAUAAAGAUCUUGUGAGGGAUCAACAACGUCACCCAUAGAUAAAUGUAGCAACCAGAGCUCUAAUCAUAGCUAUGAUACCAUAUUACAAAAUAGAACAGAGAUGAACAAAAGAGUAAACUGAAGACAAAAGAUAUGAGAAUGAAUAUCUCUUCUUUCUUAUUAUUCAAAUCAAAACAAAUGGUCUGAAUAUAUACAAGUAGUACACUCAUUCUAGGUUUAACUAAAGAGGAAAAGAAUCAAUAAUUAAAUACUAGAAUCAUAACACACAAGACAAAAUAAAGGUUAUUCACCUCUAUAAAAAGAAACAACUGAUAAUUAGAAAAGACACCAAAAUUAUUCUCCUCUAUAAAGAGAAACAACUGAUAAUUAGAAAAGACACCCAAUUAAUAUUAGGAUCCUUCUAUAACUCUGGUAUUGAUAUUAUCAAGAAUAAAUUUCCUUUUGUUAAAUAUAAUAAAUCUUUUGUUCGUGAUGUUUGUCAUUUUGCAAAGCAAAAAAGACUUUAUUUUCCUAUUAGUACAUUUAAAUCGAAAAAAUGUUUUGAUUUGAUUCAUGUAGAUAUUUGGGGACCAUACUCAAUACCAUCAAUUCAUGGCCAUAAAUAUUUCUUGACCAUAGUUGAUGACUAUUCGAGGUACACGUGGAUUUUUCUUUUGAAACAAAAAUAUGAAGUUGUUAAGGUUUUGGAACAUUUUGUUAUUUUUGUUCAAACACAGUUUGAGACAACAAUAAAAAUAAUAAGAAGUGAUAAUGGAACUGAGUUUGUCAUGACUAAUUUUUUUGUUAGUAAAGGAAUAAUACAUCAAACAUCAUGUGUCAAUACUCCACAACAAAAUAGUAUAGUUGAAAGGAAACAUGGUCAUUUAUUAGAUGUAGCAAGAGCUCUUAUGAUACAAUCUCAUUUACCCAAAAUUUAUUGGUCAUAUUUUGUGAUACAUGCUGCGCAUAUUAUAAACAUGCUUCCCACACCUGUUUUAAACUAUUCUUCCCCUCAUGAAAUGCUUUUCAAAACUGAUGCAGAUUUUAAUGGAUUAAAGGUGUUUGGUUCUUUAUGUUAUGCUAGCACUUUGUCAACAAAUAGAAGAGAUUGCUCGAAUCAAACAAGCCUUGAAUCAGACAUUCAAGAUUAAAGAUCUUGGGAAUUUAAGAUAUUUUCUUGGUCUAGAAGUAGCAAGAAGUAAGACAGGAAUAAUGGUAAAUCAAAGGAAAUAUGCAUUGGAAUUAUUAACAGAUGCAGGUCUUUUAGCCUGCAAACCUGCACCCACUCGUAUUGAUAAUCAUGAGAAAUUCUCUUCUACUGGAAGUGUUCCUUUCACAGAUAUUCAAGCCUACAGAAGAUUGAUUGGAAGACUUAUGUAUCUCACUAAUACCCGACCUGACAUAACAUUUUCUGUGCAACAACUUUCUCAAUUUCUUCCUAAGCCUACAAUUGCUCACUAUAAUGCAGCUAUUAGAAUUCUCAGAUAUAUCAAAGGGGCUCCAAGUCUUGGUCUAUUUUUCUCUUCCACUACCUCUGUUCAUCUUAAAGCCUUUUGUGAUAGUGAUUGGGGCACCUGUAGUGAUUCAAGACAAUCAGUGAAUGGUUUUAGUGUGUAUCUUGGGAAUUCUCUCAUAUCUUAGAAAUCAAAGAAGCAAGGAACAGUAUCAAAGAGUUCUUGUGAAGAUGAAUACAGGGCAAUGACCACUGUUACAUGUGAAAUUCAAUGGCUAACUUAUCUUCUUCAAGAUUUCAAAGUUCCUUUUGAGCAACCAUCUCUUUUAUACUGUGACAAUAACUCAGCAAGAUACAUUGCAGCAAAUCCAGUGUUUCACGAGCGUACAAAACAUAUAGAAAUAGAUUGUCAUGUGGUCCGGGAAAAAUUAAAGAAGGGUCUCAUCCAUUUGCUUCCCAUUUCCACCACAGAGCAACUAGCUGAUAUUUAUACCAAAGUUUUAAGUCCUCAAUCUUUUAAGAAUAUUUGUUCCAAACUGGGUCUCAUCAAUAUUUGCUGCUCCCCAGCUUAUGGCGGGGUAUUAAAGGAUACGGAUACCAGAGUUAUAGAAGGAUCCUAAUAUUAAUUGGGUGUCUUUUCUAAUUAUCAGUUGUUUCUCUUUAUAUAGGAGAAUAAUUUGAUGUCUUUUCUAAUUAUCAUUUGUUUCUCUUUAUAGAGGUGAAUAACCUUUAUUUUGUCUUGUGUGUUAUUAUUCUAGUAUUUAAUUAUUGAUUCUUUUCCUCUUUAGUUAAACCUAGAAUGAGUGUACUACUUGUAUAUAUUCAGACCAUUUGUUUUGAUUUGAAUAAUAAGAAAGAAGAGAUAUUCAUUCUCAUAUCCUUUGUCUUCAGUUUACUCUUUUGUUCAUCUCUGUUCUAUUUUGUAAUAUUCACUUCUCAUGAAAUCUCAAUUCACGUCAAAUAGUUUUUUUUAUAGAAAAAUUCUUAAUUUUUUUCUUGUAAAUACGAUUGCAAAAGGUUUGUUUGACGACAUUUAUUGACGACAUUUAUAGACGACAGUUUAGAACUAUUCUUCGUCUAAAAUUGUAGUCACAAUUUUUUGAUCUAAGUCAAGAUAUAAACAAUAGUUAUGAUGACAACCAUUGCCUAUAUAAAAAUAGAAUGUGUAGACAAUUAUUUUAUUAGAUAAUUGUAGUCUAUUGAUUAAAAAUAGAUAACAGUUGAGGAUGAAAUUGUGACCUAAAGUUGAAAAUUUCAUAUAGAGGACAAUUAUGAACUAAGAAUUGUCGUAUAUGGACUUAUUUACAUGUCCUCCACAACUCUUCUCCCUUUGUUCUUUCUACUUAACUGUCAUUAUUUUUUUGUUCUCUACUCUUUAUUGUCUUUGUUGCAUGUUAUCUCUACUCUCCAUUGUCUUUGUUGUGCGUUAUCUCUGCUCUCCAUUGUCUUCAUUUCUUAUGAUCUUAUCUAUCAAUUUUUUUCAUUUAGUUUUUUUUUUUCAUUUUGUGUGUUACAUGUUGUCUUUCUUGUGGUUUUUGCAUUUUAAGGGGCAGAGUUCCCUGCACCUGCCUUAUGCCUUCGCAGCUUGCUACAUCGCCUCCAAACCUCCCUACACCUCCUCCACAGCUCAUGCGCUGCCUCCAUGCUCCUGCACGUUUUCAUAUGUAAAAAUAAAACACUAGGUUAGUUAGUGUUUUAGGAUUUUUAGUGUAAUUUUUUAUUUUUAUUUUUAUCAUUAUUAUUUUUAAUGAAUUUAAUAUAUUUUAAUAUUUAUUUAGUAAUAAUAUUUAUAUGUUUUUUUUAAUAUUCCUGAAUCUUUCUCUGCUUUAGUUAAUACAAGUUAACAAAGAGGAGGAAAUAAAAUAAUCAAACUAAACUAAAAAAAUCGUCACAUAGACGACAAUUCAAAUCAAAAUUGUCAUCUAUAUCACAAUAUAGACAACAGUUAUUGACAAAAAUCACGGUCUAUAUUGUGACUUUUGUAUUGUUCAAUUUUGUCACAUGCUAGCCGAUGGUUGGAACCAAAAUUGUCGUCUAUGUGUAAUAAAUUUUUGUUUUUUUAUUUUUCAACUAUAGAGAUUAAGGAUGGCGGUUUGGAUGAAAACGUCAUCUAUAUGAGAAAAAAUAGACUCUAUUAUUUUGUGUUUGUACGUUUCUUUUUUAGUUGCACCACUCGACCUUGGAAAGGGGGAGCACCCAAAGAGUUCUCCAUUAACAAUACACUUGGAGGACAAUAACUCAAACAUAGAGUAAAGGGACCAAAAGGAGGAUUCUGAGUUAGAUGAAAAUGAGGAGGAUAUUCAAAUAUGUUAGUAAUAAUAGUAAAGCAAAAGGGGUUGCGAUUGUUAAGCAGAAAAAUAUAAAUGAUAAUUUAAAACAGUAAAGAAUGUAGUUUGACUCCCAAGUUCUUCUACCAAUGAUUUCAUACACGCACACACACGCACGCACGCCCGCACAUAUUUAGAAUCUACUCGACCUUCUAUCUUAACUAUUAUUAAAUUUAUCUGUAAUUCUAAUAAUUGUAAUAUAUCUAUGCAUAUUGAUUUCAUGUUAGAUGGUGAUCAUAGCCUUGGUCAUGCUCUUUUACUUUGUUAGUCUACUUAUAACAACCUUAAUGUUUCUACUACAACUCUAAAUACUAAUGAUAUCCACUCUUGUGAUACUACAAAUAGUCAUCACUAGAGCUAAGGCUAGUAUUUUUAAAAUAAAACUUUAUACUUUAACUAAUUCCUUUGUUCCUUGUGAGACAAUUUUUGUUAAGCAAGUACUAUCUUCCCUUGACUAGUACCAAGCCAUGCAACACAAAUAUCUUCUAUUAAAAAUCAUACAUGGACUUUUGCUCCCCUCGGCGCAACCACUACAAAAAAAUCAUGUAAAUAGUGGCGGUUAUUAAUAUCUGUCACAAAUUUCAAUAUAAUACGUCAUUUGACUAGCUGCUACAAUUAUCUUUCAAAAUAUGUCAUUUUCAAUUGUCACAAUUACCCUUCAGAAUAAAAAUAAGUUUUCCCUCCCUCAUUAUUCCCAAUUAUUUUGAAAAAGUUGGAAAUAUUAAUUAUGUGGGUUCUAGAAUUAGUAAAUAUUAUAUUAAAUUAAAAUAAUAAUAAAAUAUUUAUUUUUCUUCUUCUCUCUCAUGACUUGCCUGAGGAAAGAUGUAACUUCAGUGAAAAUCACUCACAUCUUCAAGAACUACGCCGACGAAGCAAACAACAGAGUUAGAGAGAGA